rnacentral:lncRNA from 1 species
GAAUUUUCCCUUCCUCUCCACAUGAGAGCCAAACGCUAGUUAUUAAGCUAUAUCAAUGACUCAGUACCAAAUGAAAAACAAAAAAGGUUGGAUCUUAUUUUCCUUAGGGAAUUCUAACUUGAUCAUCAGAUGGGAAUUCUAACUUGACUCCCAAGGUUUAUUUUGGUCAUAUCAUAUGUGGAUUUUAGGUACAUUUUGCCGGUCUCCGGAUCCCUUUGCCUUUCAAAACACCUGAUGAUGCUCACUUACUGUAAGCUUUGUAUUCAAAGAGUUUAAUAUUCUAUUAUUGCAGUGCAAUCCAUGCUAACUUACUAAAAGCUUUGUAUUGGAUUCUUUGUCUUCCCAAUAUCAGAUGGAACCCUUUUUAGAGCCUUGGUCUGACUACGUCACAAGAUGGUAAUUUUUUCUUAGAGGAAAAUAAAUAUAAAAAUAUUCUUAAUUUGAAAAGCUGUUAAUUUUGGAGCAAACUGUAUACACAAAUGUCACGAAAAUUUUAUCAAAUUGAGGAACCACAUCUUUUAAAAAAAUAAUUUAAUAAUAAUUUAUUCCACUAAAAAAUUUAAUGUCUAACAAACAUGUGAGAAAAUUACUCCACAAAUAUAUUAUUUAUUUGGGAUAUUAUUUAUAUAUAAUUCCUAUCAAGCAAUUGGUUCGCAUUUUUUCCUUAUCGUAAGGGAGUUGAAUUAGGCUUAUGUCCAAGCUAAUCUAAAUGCUCCAAUUGGAUUGCAUUGAAGGAUUUGUUAAUCAAACCCAGUUGAGUUUGCAAUAAAAGUAGUUUUUUUUAAUUCUUUUUUAAAAUCAAAAUCUCUUUUAAAAAUAUUUGUUUCUUACCGUAUCAAUAUUUAUGUAUUACCUUUUUCUUUUAUUUCUUUUGUCUUGUCAAAAUCACAUUUAUUGAUUAUAAUUUUAAUUUCAAGGUUAAAGCCAUAGCAGUCAAAUGUGGUUGUAAUCAUAAAAUUAAAUGUAAUAAUAAAGUUAAACUAUAGUUAGUAAGAGUCCUUUUUACAGGAUGGAUAUUGGUGUUGUUGGUUGUGAAACCUAAAUUAGUUUUGUUAUAUUUUAUUCGAGAUGUCGGGAUUGAAUGAUGAGUUUGCCCCUGUCAUAUAUUUAACACUAUAUUAUGAUUUAGGUUUUUUUUAGAGAAUGUGACCGUCAUUGAGAGGAGCUUUUGAGAAUUUCAUCAUUGUAACCCUUAUUUUCUUUUGAUUAAUGGAUUGUUGAGUACUGAUGCCCUUUAUGGAUGUAGGGGUCACAUAGAUGAUUAAACAACGUUAAAACUUUGUAUUUUUCUUUAGUUUUUUGCUUGUUGGUUUUGGUUAAUAGUUAUGAAAUGAGAAAUAAGAAGUGCAUGCUAAUGUUGAAUGAAACACUAAUAUUUUAAAAAGGAAGGUAGAUUUAGAUUUUUUUGGUCAAAAGAAGGAACAUGUUUAAUCAUGACGUGACCGGCUUUUAGUUCAUCAAGACAAUAGUUGGACAAUUUAUUCAUAAUACAACAAGUGCAUCUAUCCAAUGCUUCCCCUCACGUGGUCUUACUCUGCAGGAAAUGGAUUAUAAGGAAUGGGAAUUAAGUGCAGAUUUUGUUUCCUUCUAACUGAUAAGCUGAUUAUCUCAGUCAUGUCGAGAUCCUCUGGCUUGAUUCCAGUGGGGAGUUUCCAAUCAAAAUGGUAAAUAAAAUUUGCCAAUGAUAGCUCAACGCUAGGUAUAGCGAAGGACAUGUCCGGACACAUCCUCCUUCCAGCACCAAACGGGAUAAAUUCAAAGUCAGUACCCUUGUAAUCAAGCCAACUGUCAAGGAAUCUCUCUGGAUUAAAUCUCUCAGGUUCGGUCCAAGAAUCAGGAUCUCGGCCAAUGGCUCAGGCAUUAUCAAUGACUCUAGUCUUCACAGGUAUCUCAUAUCCAUUAAUCUCGCACCUCUCCCUACAUUCCCUUGGAAGCAACAAAGGAGCAGGAGGGUGUAGCCUCAAGGUUUCCUUGACUACUGCUUUUAUGAAUUUUAAUUCAUGAAUGCCGGAUUCUUCCACAGUCCCUUUUCCAGCAAAUUCCCGCCUUACUCUUGUGCCUUUUCCAUCACUCUGGGGUGUCUUAUCAGUUCAGUCAUUGCCCACUCUCCAACUGUUGAUGAAGUCUCGCCUGCAACCACUGAACAUGUCCUGAAAGAGGAUUAAUGAGCUUGAUUAUUCCACCAUUGAUGGUCUCUUUAGAGAAUCAGUUUUUGCUUUUUAAUUGCACUUGAAGUAAAUCUAUUCCUGAUUUUCAUUAUGAUCAGAAAUAUUUCUAUUUUAUUGCCUAAGUGGAUGAAGUAUUUUCUUCUUUCCUUAUGAUUUUUUAUAAUGGAUUAGAUUUUUGGGAUUAAAUGAUAUUGUGAUAGAACAAAAGUUAAAAGUACUAACCAAUAUGACUGCUUUGACGUUGUUUUCAGUUAAGGGAAAUUUAAGAUCACCAUCCUCUUGAAUCUUUAAGAAAGUAUCAACAAGAUCUUCUGCUUCUAACUUGCCCCUCUUGGUCGUCAUGCUCUCUUUGUGCUCCUUAACAAUAUUUUGAAGUAUUCUAUCAACCCUCUCAUGCAGCUUCUCAAGUUUACUCCUUAUUCCAGUGACUUGAUCAACUCAUUUUACAGAAGGGAAAACAUCUGCAGCGCAGAAACCUGUUGCCAGCUCUGCCAUCUCUGUCACAGCCCCUAUGAAUGAAUCUUGGUCUUUGCAUAUUUUCCCAAAAGCCGCUCUUGCUAUAAUGGCAACGUCACAGAAGAUAUCUCCUCGCUAAGAUUGAUUGUGGAUCCUGAAUGUGAAGCGAUCCUUUUGAUGACAUUUGACACUUCCUCUUCCCUGAUCAAUUGGAAGGACUUAACACGCUUGGCGCUUAGAAGCUCAGUGGCACAUAGUUUUCGUACUUGUCUCCAAUAGUCACUGUACGGGGCAAAGCCAAUGUUAGUAGAACCAUAUGAUACGAUGCUGGUCACCAAUAUAUUAGGCCUUUGGGCAAAACUGACGUCGUCUGUUUUCAUAAACUCUUUGGCAAUUUCUGGGGAUGAAACCACAAGGGUGGAAACUGUAAGCUGAAUACACGUUCACACGUUCUCACUUCAUGAUGUGGUCCAGCACUUUGACCACGUCCUCCACCAUCUCUCUUCCGCUACGGUUAAGGAGCACAUUCCAGCAACUGCUCAACGUGGUGGCAAGAACAACGUGGUAUGAUGGAAGCCACGGUUAUAAAGAUUUUAAAAAGAAAAAUGGUCCUAAACUCGUCUGUUGUUUUUAUCUUCAGAAACACCAUCUAAACAAAGGGAGAUCAGAGUUUGGAAAUCAAGUUUUUGAAACCGACUACAAUGGCUGGAGGUAAGUAGACUAUUCUUAGGCUUUUUCAGUUUUGAUUCAUGUUGCAAAUUCAUUGGAAUCAUAUAUAUAUAUAGCAUGUAAACAACUUACAUUUGGUAUCAGAGCACGUUAAAUCUUACCUCUGUUUUGUAUUAAUUCUGAAUGAAAAUUCUUGUUAUUAUGAUCUCUCUAAAUUAUUUAAACAAUGGUUGCUUGAGGCAAUCCAAAGGGUUGGCGUAAUUCUUUCAGAAAAAGCCAUUACAGGCGUUCAACAGGCAGCCAUUUUCGGGAGCUUCAGCGGCGCUGUUAAGGCGCCAUUGGAGACACCAUUGGGAGUGCAUUUUAGGGCUGCAACUAGCGCCAUUUCAGGCGCCAUACCAGCCCCGUUCAGGCACCACUUGCAGCACCAUUGAAAGUCCAUUUUUUGGGGUUGCAACAAGUCCAUUUCAAGCGCCAUACCAGCCCCGUUCAGGCACCACAUGUAGCACCAUUGAAAGUCCAUUUUUUGGGGCUGCAACCAGUCCAUUUUCAGGCGCCAUACCAGCCUCAUUCAGGCACCACAUGCAGCACCAUUGAAAGUCCAUUUUCUGGGGCUGUAACCAGUCCAUUUUAGGCGCCAUACCAGCACCGUUUCAGGCAUCUUUUCGCGCCGGCAAGAGGCGCCCUUUGGGAGUGCUGUUCAGGCGCUAUUCGCAGCGGCUGGAAGUCACCAAUGACGACUUACUUGCUGGUGAUGUUGGUAGCCGGAAGACACCCGUGAGGCUCUUUAUGCCUUUGAUGCAGGCGGCUCCAUGGUUAGCUGGUGAUGAAGCAAUCCACAAGGGUGGCGGUAAAUUAGAACCUAGAGAGAGAAUGGGUUCUAUUAAGUGUCGGGCCAUGUAUUAAAUGGGAAAUUUGGGCCUUGGUAUAAGAGGCUAUUGGGCUCAUUAAGCUCAAUGCAUGCCAAUAGCCCAUUUUACAAAAUUAUGGGCUUUAAGUUUUGGUUCAUUGAAUGAUGGUUAAAAUUGGGCCAGUUUAGGCCCUCUUUGGCCCGAUUUGAAUUUUUAUUUUAAUUUUAUUGGGCAUGGAAUUGAUUGUGUUUUAUUUGGAUUUAGGCAUUCAUUCAUAAUCUGAAACCUUUAAUUUAUUUUUUAAAUUAUCAUGUAAAUUUUAUACAUGCAAAAUAAAUAAUUAUAUAUUGUUUUAUAUGUUUGUAGCCUAAAUUAAAGUUGUAUCUCUUAAUGCAUGCAAUUAUUGCCUGAAUUUGAGUUAGAUAUAUUAAAAUUAUAUCAUAUAGUUUUAAUGUCUAGUGAAACCAUAUGAUUUUUUUAAAUAAUUAAGGAAUAGCCACAACAUCCUUAAUUAUAUAAAAAUUAUAUAUUAAGUAAAUAAGGAUCGCAUUAUGGAUAUUAAUUGUAAUUAAUUAUAUAAAUAUGAUGAUUUUACCCCACAGGGUUUUCAUUAUGUUUAUAUAAUUAAUUAGGAUAAAAUAUUAAAAUUAAUUUUUCCUAAUUUACCCAUAGGAGUUAGGAAGAAUUAAUUUAAUAGGUUUAUCAUAAAGAUUAUAGACAGAAAAUAUCAAACUAUAUUCGUAAUAAAUUUCAUAAUUUAAUAAUAUAGUUUGAUAAAGUCUAUCAUAAAGAUAAUUAAUUUGAUUGAAUUAAAGAUUUAGCCCACAUGCAAUUUUUAAUAAAAUUAGAUUAAAUUUUAAGCAUGUUCUACAUUGGUAAAACAUGAAUUUAUAUUAAAGCCUCAAAAUUUUUUAAUAAGCUUGUAAUCCUUUUGUGCAAUUUUACCUAGCAUAUCUGAUAUUCGUUGUGAGGUUCCCGAACUUAGAGGAGAUAAAUUUAAGAUAUGGAAGGAGAUAAUUCUUCUUCAAUUAGGGUGCAUGGACAUAGACUAUGCCAUAAGGAAAGAUAAACCACAUAAGAUCACUAAUACCAGCACACUUGAAGAAAUACUAUUGUACGAAUGCUGGGAGAAAUCUAAUCGGCUCAGAGUGAUGUACAUAAAGACAAAAAUUAGUGCUGGUAUACGUGGUUUGAUCGAGCAACAUGAGAAUGUCCGUGAAUUGCUCAAGGCUAUUGAUGAGCAAUUCGUCACUUCAGACAAAGCCUUGGCAAGCACCCUGAUUAUGAAGUUCACAUCCCUGAAGCUCACCGGUAUAAGAGGUGUAUGCGAACACAUCAUGGAAAUGAGGGACAUAGUGGCUCAAUUGAAGAAACUCGAGGUAGAAAUGUCUGAAUCCUUCUUGGUGCACUUUAUCUUUAACACUCUUCCGUCUCAAUAGGGACUUUUCAAAAUCUUUUACAACACACAUAAGGAUAAGUGGUCUAUCAAUGAAUUGAUGACCAUGUGUGUUCAAGAGGAAAGAAGGUUAUUGAUGGAACAGGGAGAAAGUGUCAUGCUGGUGACGCAAAGGAAAGAAAAGAAAGGAAAAUCUCAUGCUAGUUAGAAAGGGAAGCAACAAAUUCCUCCCAAAUAUGACAUUAAGAAAGACGAAAAAUGUUUUUUCUGUAAAAAGAAAGGACACGUGAAGAAGAAAUUUCUGAAUUUCAAAAAUGGCUUGAGAAGAAAGGUAACCCUACCUCAUUUGUUUGUUAUGAAUCUAAUAUGGUUAAUGUAAAUACCAACACAUGGUGGAUUGAUUCUGGAUCUACAAUCCACAUUUCAAAUUCCUUGCAGGGUAUGCAAAACCUAAGGAAGCCAAUGACAAGUGAGCAAUUCAUCUUAUCCGGAAACAAGAUGGGCUCGCAUGUGGAAGCAAUAGGGACAUGUUAUUUAACUUUAAAUAGUGGUUUUGUUUUAGAAUUGCAAAAGACCUUUUAUGUACCAAGUUUUUCAUGAAACUUGAUUUCAGUUUCUAGACUUGUACCGUUUGGAUAUUCCUUUCAUUUUUCAGAAACAUCUUUCAGUUUGAUUUAUAAAUCUGAUUGUGUUGGGAAUGGUAUUUUGUCUGAUGGUCUUUAUUGCAUAUUCUUACAAAAUGAUACCACUCAUAAUUCAUUACAUGUCCAAACUGGCAUUAAAAGAUGUGUUGUUAAUGAGGAUUCCUCUACAUUGUGGCAUCGGAGAUUAGGUCAUAUCUCUAUAGAUAGAAUCAAAAGAUUGGUGAAUGAUGGGGUACUUAGUACUCUAGAUUUUAUUGACUUUGAGACUUGUGUGGACUGCAUUAAGGGAAAGCAGACCAACAAGUCAAAGAGAGGUGCUACUAGGAGUUCUACCAUACUAGAGAUCAUACAUACUGAUAUAUGUAGUCUUGACAUGGACUCUCAUGGUCAGAAAUACUUAAUCUCUUUAAUAGAUGAUCUCUCACGAUACAUGUAUCUCUACAUACUUCAUAAUAAAAAUGAAACUUUAGAAGCCUUUAAAGUUUUCAAGGCAGAAGUAGAAAAACAAUAUGGUAAACAAAUUAAGAUCGUGAGAUCAGAUAGAGGUGGAGAAUAUUAUGGUAGAUACUUGGAAGAUGGACAAUCACCUGGGCCAUUCGCAAAGUUUCUUCAAGAACAUGGGAUUGUUGCCCAAUACACCAUGCCUGGUUCUCCAGACCAAAAUGGUGUAGCAGAAAGAAGAAACAGAACUUUAUUAGACAUGGUGAGGAGUAUGCUUAACAGCUCAAAACUUCCUAAAUUCUUGUGGACUGAAGCACUUAAGAUAGCAAUGUAUAUAUUAAACCGAGUUCCAACCAAGGUUGUCCCAAAGAUGCCAUUUGAGUUAUUGAAAGGUUGGAAACCGAGUUUGCGACAUAUGCGCAUUUGGGGAUGCUCGUCUGAAGUGAGAAUUUAUAAUCCACAGGAGAAGAAACUGAACCCAAGGACUAUUAGUGGGUAUUUCAUUGGAUAUGCUGAAAAGUCUAAGGAGUACAGAUUUUACUGUCCAUCUCACAACACUAGGAUUGUGGAAUCGAGAAAUGCUAAAUUUCUUGAAUAUGACUUGGUCAGUGGGAGCGAUCAAUUCAGAAACAUAGUUUCUGAUAUUGAUCAUACAAAGUCUCAACCUUCCACUUCAAGUGAUAGAUUGUUUAUUGUUCAUAACACCCCUCAAGUACAAUCGGGUGUAGAACGAACAAUCACUGAAGUUCAACCAGUCGUUGAAGUUCCACAAGCUGUUGACAAUAUUCCAGUAGAUCAAGUUGAUCAGGAGUUUCCUGACACUUCUGAACAACAAAUUGAACCUCAUAUUUCCUUAGAAGAUAUUGGUGCAACCUUAAGAAGGUCUACUCGAACUAAGAGGUCAGCAAUUCCUAAUGAUUAUGUAGUGUAUCUACAGGAAUGUGACUACAAUAUAGGAGCCGAAAAUGAUCCCUAAUUUUUUUCACAAGCCAUGAGUUGUAAAGAAUCAGAAUUGUGGUACAAUGCCAUGAAGAAUGAGAUGAGUUCCAUGAAGUGCAACGAUGUUUGGGACCUUGUUGAGUUGCCUAAUGGUGUAAAAACCAUUGGUUGUAAAUGGGUUUUUAAGACAAAGAAAGACUCAUUAGGCAACAUUGAGAGAUACAAGGCCAGACUUGUUGCAAAGGGGUUCACUCAGAAAGAAGGAAUCGAUUACACGAAAACGUUUUCUCCUGUAUCUAAGAAAGAUUCCUUACGCAUUAUAUUGGCAUUAGUAGCCCACUUUGAUUUGGAAUUGCAACAAAUGGAUGUGAAAACAACAUUUCUUAAUGGAGAGCUAGAGGAGGAGGUUUACAUGAAACAACCUGAAGGAUUCCCCUCUAGUGAUGGUGAGAAAUUGGUUUGUAAACUUAAUAAAUCCAUAUACGGUUUAAAACAAGCAUCCCGCCAAUGGUAUUUAAAAUUCCAUAACAUAAUUUCUUCAUUUGGUUUUGAAGAAAAUGUUAUGGAUCAAUGCAUAUACCUUAAGGUCAGUGGGAGUAAAGUUUGUUUUCUUGUUUUAUACGUGGAUGACAUCUUACUUGCAACCAAUGAUAAGGGUUUACUUCAUGAGAUGAAACAAUUAUUCUCUAAAAAUUUCGACAUGAAGGAUAUGGGUGAGACAUCUUAUGUCAUUGGCAUUAAGAUCCAUAGAGACAGAUUUCAAGGUAUCUUAGGUUUGUCUCAAGAGACCUAUAUCAAUAAAGUUUUAAAGAGAUUUCGGAUGAAGAAUUGUUCACCUAGUGUUUCUCCUAUAGUGCAGGGUGAUAGGUUCAAUCUGGACCAAUGCCCGAAAAACGAUCUUGAGAGGGAACAAAUGAAGAACAUUCCAUAUGCUUCUGCAGUUGGAAGUCUGAUGUAUGCUCAGGUCUGCACAAGGCCUGACAUUACAUUUGCUGUUGGAAUGUUAGGACGAUAUUAGAGUAACCCGGGUAAGGACCACUGGAAAGCUGCAAAGAAAGUGAUGAGAUAUCUUCAAGGAACCAAAGAUUACAAGCUUAUGUUCAGACAGACAAGUAAUUUAGAGGUUGUUGGCUACUCAGAUUCAGACUUUGCUGGUUGUGUCGAUUCACGUAAAUCAACAUCUGGAUACAUUUUUAUAUUGGUCGAUGGAGCUAUAUCUUGGAAGAGCGUUAAGCAGACCAUGACUGCUACUUCUACUAUGGAAGCUGAGUUCAUAUCUUGUUUUGAGGCUACUUCACAUGGUGUAUGGCUUAAGAGUUUCAUUUCCGGGCUUAGAGUUAUGGAUUCAAUAUCUAGGCCAUUGAGUAUAUAUUGCGACAAUUUAGCUGCAGUCUUUAUGGCGAAGAACAAUAAAAGUGGAAGUCGAAGCAAACACAUCGACAUUAAGUAUCUAGCCAUAAGAGAACGUGUUAAAGAAAAGAAAGUAGUUAUUGAGCACAUUAGCACUGAAUUGAUGAUCGCUGAUCCUUUUACUAAGGGCAUGCCACCAUUGAAAUUCAAGGAUCAUGUAGUGAACAUAGGACUUAGUUCCCUUAUGUAGUUUCUAUUGUACAAACUCUUAUUAUGAUGUUUUCUCAUAUUGAUGUGCACUUUUAUUUAAUUUUGAGAAAAUUCAACUUCAUUGGACCAAGAAUGAACAUAGGGUUUAUUCAUUAAAUAAUAUUGCCACAUAAAAUAUGAUGUUAAGAAAUGAGUACACUGUAAUACAUGGAAGGUAAUACUCGUUAAAUAGAGGACUUAUCGCCAUGAUUCAUGUAUUUGUUACUUAAUGGGACAAUUGAUGGACUGAAUUAGGACAUUAGGUUAAAGAUGUGGACCAAGUGGGAGAAUGUAAGCUGAAUACACGUUCACACAUUCUCACUUCAUGAUGUGGUCCAGCACUUUGACCACGUCCUCCACCAUUUCUUUUCUGUUGCGGUUAAGGAGCACAUUCCAGCAACUGCUCAACGUGGUGGCAAGAACAAUGUGGUAUGAUGCAACCCACGGUUAUAAAGAUUUUAAAAAGAAAAAUGGUCCUGAACUCGUCUGCUGUUUUUAUCUUCAGAAACACCAUCUAAACAAAGGGAGAUCAGAGUUUGGAAAUCAAGUUUUUGAAACCGAUGGCUGGAGGUAAGUAGACUAUUCUUAGUCUUUUUCAGUUUUGAUUCAUGUUGCAAAUUCAUUGGAAUCAUAUAUAUAUAUAUAUAUAUAUAUAUAGCAUGUAAACAACUUACAGAAACCUCACCAAGCUGUAGAUGCAUUAGAGGCCCAUAUUUCUUGGCCAUUUCUCUCAGCAGGCGAUGAGGUAGGGUGCUGACCAGGUUGUGCAUGUGGCAACAACAUGAUUGAGUCGUUGGCGUUGGACCUCCUCACUUUCUUGAACAACAUGAUUGAAAAGAGAAGAAAGGCAAAGAGGGUAGAAGAGGAGGGAAACUCCAUGAGUAGGAUGAAGAGAAUGUAGCAGUGAGGGUAAUGCUUGUGGUUUAAUUUCUUCCCAGAAAUGUAUUCAACUUAUACCAGUUUCAAGCUAAUUUAAGUUGCCAUCUUUGACUUGCAGCAGUGCAAAUCACCAAUAUAUUUUCUCCGGAUGGGCUUGUAAGUUUUUUGAAUGGCAGCCAACAUAUUUUAUGAACUCCAAUCUUUAACAUCGUCCUUGGUGUGUAUUGAUCUGGAAAUGGAUAGCGAAAAUGAAUGGAUUUGCCUUUGAAUUGAAUCACAUUUUUCUCAUUUUAAUACAACAUUCUAGACUAGUCAAAUGGAUUUGUCAACUUUGCUUAAUCAUGCAGAUAUGCAAUUAUUUCAUAGACUUCUUUUCGUUAAUAGCUAGCUUUGAAGUUAUUAAUCAUGCAUUCAAAUUUGUCCUAAAUUAUAUAUAUAGCCCAUGACAUUGUGUUGCAUACUAGAACUGCAUGGUUCAAACCCUCCUGAUGUAGGCAAUCUAGAAACCAUUUUUAAAAUCCAAAUGAGUUGCUGCCAUCCUCGGCGUUGGUGAUUAUACUUGAAACAAUAGUCCAAGAAGAGUGAUAACAUGUCAUUUUCACAGGUGAAUGUGGUGGCAGAAAGUCAGUAUUCUACUUGGUAUACGACUGAAAAUCCAUCAUAAUAAUCAAGUGUGGCAGCCCAAAUACAAAUAAAAAAAAAGACACCAAUGCAUUAGACUAAACCCCACCAGAAAAAAACUAAUGAAAACAAAGACUUUCCUCAGAUUUUUAGGGGGAUAAAAAAGGGGAAAUUGUCAGUUUCUUUGUCUGUAUAUCCUGCACUGGGGCGCCGACAACCAUCAACAUCAUUUGAUUUCAUAUAGUUUUAACAUAUUUAAAGAAAUCCUAGCUGAUUUGUUUUUGGGUGAAAAGCUUACGGCCGCGAACUUGAGCCCUUGUGCAGGGUGGAGCAUAAAAUAUGCCUCCGAGAGGCGGUUUUAAUCGGGACAAAUUUAAAAAAUGUAACUAUGAAAUUUUAAAUAUUGAUAAAUCAAUGGUUUGUAAUGCCCGAAACUCAAUUUCAGGGAUAAAAGCACAAUUUAAAAAUAAAGAAAAAAAUUAGAAGAUGGUAGAAAAGUUUUUCAUAUUUAAGAGUUUUAGGUAUAAAAUAGAUUUCAUGACUUUUCUAUAAAGCAAUCUUUUUUCACAUAGAUUAGAGUGAUCAAAGAAUGUAGAGUUGAAAAUUUGAAACCUUUAAGAGUUUUAAGAUCUAUUUUUAUAGAUACAAAAUGAGCCUUUUUUGAGUCAUUUCCACUUUAAGUCUCUGAACUUGAGGUUUGAAAUGGUUGUCAUACCCUUAGAUUACCUUAAAGUGGGGGGUUUUGGGGAAUAAUAAAAUGGUUUAAAAGCCAAUUUUCAACUCUAAUGCAGGAGUUUAUUUGGUUCCGCAAGAGGUGUCUAUUUGUUUCGUACAUCCAGUGAUUGUAACAUCUUAUACCAGAUAGGGAAAAAAGUUCUUAAAAAACGACAAUAAAGAAUAAUAAUAGGAAGAAAAAAAUAAAAGGAUGAAAAUAAAAUACAUAACAAUUUAUUUAGUUCAGUCUCAAGCCUACAUUGACAAGUGAAGAUGAAAAAGAACUUCCAUUAUUAUUGAAAGAGAUUAUAACCUUAGAGUUCUCAAAUCCCAAAGUCCCAAUUUAUAUCCAAAAAGAGACUCGCUAUUUUGGUAAAAAUCUCUUCCCAUAUUUUUUUCCUAAUUACAAAGAAAGAUUCCACAUGGGAAACUAAGUGUAUAAUUGUCAAAGAUGUCUUUUCCUAAAAAAAGAUCUCAUAAUAGGAUAUUUCGUUUAUAAUAAUAGGAAACCCACUUAUAAGAAUAGCUUUUAUUAGGAAACUAUCAAUAACUUUUCAAUUGACUCAAAAAAAAAGAAUUUGAAACACUUUCCAACAAUCUUCACCUUGGCUUAAAUUUCCAAGAUUCAAACAAACUCAAAAUUCUUCCAUGUUACUUUAUUUCCACACCCCAAAAGGGCCUUUAGAUAUUACUAACACCAAUUAAGUCCAAGUAAUGUUUAAUUUAAUUGUAGAAACAAACUUAGAAGGUGUUUGUUUUUUUAGCUUUUUGUUAAAAACAAUUUGCUUUCAGACUUUCAGUUGUUUGUUUUUCUACAUUUUUAUGACUUAUUAUAAAAUUUUUGCUGAAUAGAAAAAGCCAAAAUAUUUGGCUUUUUUAAAAUAGAAAAAACAACAUGUUGAUUUUUCUUUACUUUUGAAUGCUUAAUAGAAAUAAAAUAUUACAAAAACAACAAUAUAAUACUUAACACUAUUAAGCAUUAAAGUUCUAUUUAGAAUUAAGUAAAAAAAAAAAAAUCAAACACCACCUUAAUCAUCAUAUCUAUAGGAUUGUCCAUUGUAGGGAUUUUUUUCAUUGCAAUAGCACCUUAUGCAAUCACAUCCCUAAUACAAUGCAUUAUGACAUCAAUAUGUUUGGUCCUCUCAUGGAACAUUUGAUUUUUAGUCAAAUGUACGACACUUUGUCGAUCACAAUACACAAUAGUCAACUCCUAUUGUAAGCCCACACUACAAGGAAAAUGUAAAAAGAUGACGUUUUUUAAGCAUCAAGAUAGAUAUAAGAUGACGCUUUCCAAAAGCAUCAUAUCUUAGACUGACAUCCUAUGAAUUUCCAAUUGUUGAUGCUUUUCAAAAGCGCCAUAUUCUUUGGCGGUUAACCAUGACGCUCAUAGAAAACGUCAUUAUUCUAAACCUUGGCGCUCUAUAAGUGUCAUUGUAGGUCUGCAAUUUCAUUCAUCUCAAUAUUGACACUCGAUAAAGCGUCAUUGUAUAGGUAGGAGCAACAUCGAGACUCAUGAUAAGUGUCAUCUUAUAGCAUUUUUCAACCUUGACGCUCAAAAAAAGCAUCAUGUUCUUAAAUCCUCAACCUUGAUGCUUAUGAUAAGUGUCAUCUUAUAGCAAUUUUCAACCUUGACGCUCAAGAAAAGCAUCAUGUUCUUAAAUCCUCAACCUUGAUGCUUAUGAAAAACGUCAUUGUAUAUUUUAAAGUGACGUUGACACUCAUAAUAAGUGUCAUCUUCUGCCUUUAUUAUCCUAUGAGAACAAAGCAUGACACGCUUUAAAAAAGUGUCAUCUUAUCUCAUUCGAAAUUUUAAUAACCCAUAAAAGUCCUAAUUAUGCCCUGUUUUAUAAUUUUUCACAAACAAUGAAUGAGUAAUAAAAAGUUAAUUUAAGAAAGUCCUAAGAGAAAAAGUACUAAUUGUGGUGUUUCUCUUUCACUAUUAAAAUUUACUAAUAAACAGACAUAAUUAAAUAUGAAUUUGCUUAACAUUAAAUUUAGUUGCAAUUGUUCAAAAAACUAAAAAAUUUACAACUUCUUUUUCAACUUUGAGUUGUUCAUAGUCUUUUGUUGCAUCUAGUUCUACAUCAUCUUUCUUCAAAAUGCAUAAGGAUGGUUACAAGUCACGUUCUAGAUGCUCAACCUGCAAAAAUAAUUGAGAGGUUACAUAUAAUUAAUAUUGACAAAUAGUAAAAUAAAAAAAACAACUCUAUAAAUGAAAUGUGUAUAUAUCAAUUUUUUAAAUUUCCAAGAUAUAUUUCUUCCACUGCAAUAAAUUUUAACAUGUUGGAAGAACUAAACAAACCCUAAUAAUUUUGUUACACCAAAUUUCUAAAUAUUCCUUGAACUCUUGUUAUGUGUUUAAGAAAGCAAUCAAUAAACCACUUUCUAGUGUUUUCCCAAAUGUAAUAUUUGAUUUUGUCUAACUUGGGUUGAAUGCAAUAAUUAAUUUUGUCGAACUCAUAUUAUCAUUCAUAUUGUAAUCAUGAGUGAAUGAUGACUUGCACCCAUGGUUAUCAAAAUAUGUUCUAAGUAUAUCUAACUUGGGUUGAAUGUAAUAAUUAAUUUUUUUCAACUGAUGUUAUCAUUCAUGUUGUAACCAUGAAUGGAUGAUGACUUCCACCUAUGAUUAUCAAAAUACGCUAUCAACAUAUUGGGUCUUGCCAUAAGUCCAAGUAGGUCUUAAAUUUAAAGCAUGUAUACACUUAAUCAUUUUCAUAGACUAACUUAUUAUGGAUAGAAUUAAACCAAUUAAAUAACUAGGUUAGGUGGUUUCCCUUCAUCAAUGAAGAUGGUAUAUCCAUGUGGUUGCCUUCUUCCCUAAUUAGGCAUUACUAUGAAUUACAAUUAGCUAAAUGACCCAUUGUUCAUCAACUAUCUCCAUUAUAUAAUGGUCUUUUAGCCCUUCUACCCAAUUGGCCUUUACAAGUCAUCAAUUAUAUGUAUAAACAAAUGUCUGUAACUCUUAAAAAACUCAAAAAAAAGAAAAGUCUUGAUCUUAGUGACUAUUUUGGUAUGAUUUAUAUCUUAUAUAUGAAACUUCAACCAUUAACAUCUUUUCAUCCUUCUUAUAGGUCUUACAAGACACUGGAUGUUUUGCAAAGGAAGUAAGUAAGGAAUUAAAAGGAAAAAACUAUAAGUCUGAAAUUUUUUGAAAUUAUAGGUUAAAAUAUCUAUGUUCUUCCUACUGUUAAUAUCUAUUAUACAUGAAAUUUACAAUUUAUUGGUUCUAUCUAUUUAACCAAUUAAUGUAGUUGGUAUGAAGUAUAAUGUCAAGAGAAGAGCUAGCUUGCAUGGGUACAUUAACAUCUAAUCAUGUGAGGAUAUCUAUUAUCCUAAGUAUACAUCUUAAAUAUGAAACUUACAUGAAAUGAUUUUGUAAACAUGGAAUUUAUUCAUAAAACUAACAAUAACCUAAGCAUCUUACCUCAAUAUUCUUUUAUGAAAAUUUUCAACUAUUCCAGGGAGUCCUUCAUGUCAUUGAACAUGUUUAGGUCUGGAUAAGCAAGAGUAGUAGUGACGUACUUAAGAGAAUGACCUAUUUCUUUCAGUACAACUUGAAGAAUAUACAAUAAACAAUUUAGCAACAAAAUUAGAUUCUUAAAAGUUUUAACACAUUAAAUUCAAUAAGCUCAUUAAUUUCAAAGAAGGUUGGUAGCCAAAGGUAGUAGAAUAAUUGAGAUAAAGAAACUAGGAAUGAAGAAAAAUUAAUUUUAGGUAAAACAUUAUAAUUAAAUUGAUAUUUUGACUUGACAUGUUAUGAAUCCAUGAAAAAUAAUACAUUGGCAAUACUUAAUUGAUUAAAAGAGUAAAAUAACACCAAAUAUAGCAAAAAACUACAUGAUAUGGACAAAUGGUUUAUUUUUGUAACAGUCAUCAACAGACUAAACUUAAAAGGGCCUUGGUGGAGGAAAAAACUAUUAUGUCAAAAUGACUAGUUUCUUUCCUUAGAAUUGCAUUUAGAUUGAGGAGCUAUUAUUCAAGUUGAUACCCUAUUUUAGACAACGAGGCUUUGGAGGCCUAUUUAGGAAAAAGGAGGUGCUUUUUUUUUUUUUUUUUUUCUUUUUCCUUAGGCUUAUUUGUAAGAAGUCUUAAUCUAAUUUCCUAUUUUUUUAAUGUCAAAGAAAAUAUAAGUAUAAGAUAUUUUAAACUUUAAGCCCAUUAGUUUAGGAGGAUGCCUCUACAAAUUUAGAUUAAAAAAAGUUAUAUAGCAAGUGAUCUUAAGGAUCUAAAAUGGUUUUUUUUAGGAUAGACAUAUUCCUAAUGCAUGCACAUGUAAUGAGACUAAAGACUUUACUAAAAAGAGUAUGAAAAUGCAUGAAUUUUCGUACCAUUACAACACUAGGAUUUCUACAAAUCCAACUAAUAAGGAUGUAUACAGGAAAUACACAAAGGGUGUGACACCUACCAUGUCUACUAGGCUUCACCUCUCAAUUUGCCAAUUACACAUCCAUCAAAAUAGAGCAACCAUUGGAUGAUCCAUAUUGAAGACACUUCCAACUAGGAGUACCAAGAUAUAUAUUAACAAAUCAUGACUAAGAAUAAAUUAUAAAAUUAACAUUAACAAAAUAUUCACUAGAUCUUUAGAAUAAUAUGAAGUUAUAUUAGAAUAUAGGUCAUAUAAGGUACCUUCAAGCAAGAGUAAUGAUUAAUUGAGUCAUUAACAUAACCCAAUUUGAGCGAACUUCAUUAAUUUCCAUUUCACUAUAUGUUUUUCUCCCAUUAAACUGAAAUGGAAUAACAUACAUCUUCACUAAGUUGAAUUGGAAAAUCAAGUGCUAUAGUAAAAUGACCAACCAUAUGAAUUGCAUUGCAUACAAACCUUUGAUGUUAGUUGGUUUGGAUUAGCAAUGAUUUCUUUCAUGUAUCUCAUCACGUAAUACCCACAUUCCACACUACCUCGUUGUCUAGGACACUAUGACAAAAGUAUCAACAAUUACAACAAACAUAACAUGAUGUUCUUACUUCUUUAGUAUCUAAAUGAUCAUCAUAUUAAUCACCGUCCAUUUCAUAAUUUUGUGUAGUGAAUUAAGUGGUCAAACAAUAUAUUUUAAUCUAAAGGAAUAAGUACUUACAACCACUUUCACCCAAGUCGACUCUCUCUUUGAUGUUUUCUGUUUUUCUGGUGGGUUGAUUCUAAUUGCCCUAUAAAAAAGAAAUGAUGUUCUAUAGAUAAUAUGCAUUGUACUAAAAUAUGAGAAGUACACACUUACAUGUUAACUAUCUCCCUAAGAUCAUCACAUGGUUGACAAGCCAUUGGAUUAAGGUAAUAUGCAAUCAUUCUCUUCAUCUCUAGUGCCACUAAGACCUAGUGGAAACUAAAGAAAAAAGAAAAAAAUUGUAAUAUAAUAUCCACAAAUUAAUACAUCACAAACUAACUUAUAUACACUAUAUCGAGAUUUGGGAUAAAAGGUUACUCUGGAUUGUAUGGAAUAAACACAUAUUCAACAUGUUUUGCAUUCCUUAGUCGAUCCACAAUGACCUUUGACCUGUUUUCUUUACUUCCCUCUCCCAUUCCAGCUUUUGAAACCAAUGCUGGAUUGACAAAAACAUAUUGUUCAACCUGCUUUCCAUCAAUCAACUUUCUAUGCAGGUGCCUAAUUAAAUCCCGCAUAAUAAGUUAUCAACAAUCAUUAUAGGUCAUUAGCAAAUAACCUUUUACCUAAAAAAAAUGUGAAGAGUAAUUAAAAAAAUUAUAAAAUCCCUCACUAGAUGUAGUAUAAGAUACAAUUGGAUGACACUUCUUUUGAUGAUAUAAUCAUGUCCAUAUCUUCUUUCAUUAGGAAGGUCUUGAAACUCUCACCAAAAACAUCAUCUGGGAAGUCAAUAGGAUGUACUCUUGAGGUACUCAGCAUGAGGCCAACCAAUGCCUAAAAAUUCUUGAUAUCUUGUGCUUUCUCACCCUUAGAUUUGACUUCAACUUCAUUUUAUUUUUGUUUCUUUCCUUUCUUGGAUGUCUAUACAAUUAAGAACCAUGAUACAAAUCAAAUCAACUAGUUGAAUAUACAAAAAAAUGAAAAAUAAAAUAAAAUUUAAGGUUAUCAUAAAGCUUGGUAAUUAAAUUUACUCACCGAGAUAAGAGUAUGAAUGAUUACUAAAUGAGCUGGCCACAAAACUUGGUAACCAAUUGCAUCCCCAACAGUAGUAGUUUGUCCAGGAAUAGGAAUGGGAAGGGGUGCACUUGAAUCAUAAGAAGCAUCAACAACUACUAGAUAGUUGGGACCACAUUCAAGUGUAAUUGUGCCAUCGGCCACUAUAUUUUCCUUGGUCUCCAUAGCCAACUCACAUUUUCUAACCUACAAAAUGAAGUUAUAUUAUUAGAUAUGAGUCAAUAUUCUCUAUUUCAUUCUUUCAAGUCUACAUAUUCAAAUUAACAUUGGUGAAUAUUGAAAGCCAUCUAUAAGGUACAAGCAAAAAUGUGAGAUAUGAAGUAAUUUUAGAUCACAUUGGAAAAAUUGAAUGGAGGCAUGCGAAUUAUUAUGUGUUUAUAUAAAGAAUAGCUAUUCUUAAAAUAAAAGAGGUUAGUAAUGCAUAUCUAUCAAAAUAAUUAUUGAAUAUUAAAAAGUUUCAUAAUAUAUGAAAUAAAAAUCCCAUAUGAUCUAAUUAUGUAGACAACAAAAUUAUAUUAUCUAUUUUGUAAAUGCCCAAAAUGCUAAAAAAAAAAUUUUACAACUUUUUUAUUUUCUUAUAUUGCACUACAUAAAAAAAAACCAUAUAUUUUCCGCCAACAAUUAAAUUAAAUUCAAACAACAAAAUUUACCUAAAUUAUGUCUCCUAUUACAACAAACAUUAUCACCAAAUUAACUAGAUAAAUACCUUGUUCUUUGGUUCUAUUGGCACUAGUGGACCUGCAUUUUCACCUCUACGGAUUGGCUUAUCCACUACUUCUGGUAGGAGAAACUGUUUUUGUUUCAUGAUCGAAUUGCUAACAUCAGAUUGGGGAGUGACUGCUCCCACUUGAAACAGUUUUGCUAGCACUUUUGCCUAAAAGUUUCUUUGUUUUUCUUUAGAUGCUGCUAUAAAAUCCCUAACAGCAUGAUCUAUAGCACUAUUAAAAUAUUGACAAGGUGUGUGGUGCUUCCCUUUGGCUCUAACUCGACCACUAUACUUAGGAGUACCCAAUGCUUCUACAAGUAUAUCAUUACUCCCAUUGACACUCCUACCAUUCUCUUGAGACUCUUUCAACAGCUUAUCCUUAAAAAAAAUGUUAAUUAUGAAGUUUAAUUAUAAAUUUGUUAUCAUAAAUUAGCUAUUAUAAAUAAAUGAAAUUGAGGUUGAAAAUAUCCACUUACUAUUUUUUCAAUCACUGGUAUGACCACUUCAUCAAAGGUGCCAUUUUUUUUUUCUCUUGCUUUCUUCCAUAAUAUGCUUCGAUCAAUACUUUCAGUUGACCCACUUGCAACCAUCUUUUAAAAGGAGACAAUGUAUAAUGUAAUAAGCAUAUAACACUAUUAUGUAUUAUGUAUAAAAUAAAUAAAAAAACUAUAAAUUAGUAUAAACUUACCAUCCCUUCCUCAAGACCAGCAUAUCCUUUCCUACUUAAAUGGUGAUUAUAAAUGUGUUUCUUUCUUAUUUCUUUUUUAACUUCUCGAUAUUCCUAUAAAUUAAAAAUGUAUAAUUAAUUAAUGUGAAUACAAGAUAUGUAAAGAGUUGUAAUUAUACCUUAAAUCUAUCAGACAAUCGAUCUUUAACAAACAUUGUCCAAUCUUCAUCCUCAAUAAAAAUAUAUUGAAUUAGCGGUUUUUUGAGGAGCUCCGGUUGGUCUUUGAAAGGAAGAAUGUACUUCAUUGUUAGCAUGUUCUUAAAUGAUCAAAAACAUUUUCCAAUUGUUAGCAUACAAUUCCUCCUACUUUUGGGAUUUAAUGAAAAAACACCCUACACAUUAAUAGUAUACGUGUUAGUGACUUAAUGUGGUUAGGAAUGAUUGAUGUUUUGCAUAAAGGUGAUGUAGGUAAGAAUGUGUUACCUCAAUGCUAUCCCAUAACUUAUCCUUCAACUGUUUAGGUACAACAUGCCACGUUUGAUAUCUUAUUGGCACUAUAGUGCAUGCUAAUAUGCCUAAAUAGCUUGUUAGAUGAACUGUUGAUUCUCCUAUGAAAAUGCCAUCAAGAUUGUACUUAACCUGCAACUUGAUCCCUUUGCUUUUGUUCUUGGUAAUCAUGGACUUUCGUGUCAUUCCUCUGUACUUCCUUUUUGUGGUUUUUUCUCCUUUAUUUGGAUCCAUUCUGGUAACAAAAAAAAAAAAAAACAAAACAAAACAAAACUAAUAAAGAUUAGUUAACAUUAUAUUAGAUAUAAUCGUGUGAGAAGAGUUGUAAAAAGAAAAUUUUAGACAAAACAAUCCCUCAUCAUUGCAUUAUGAAAUGGCACCAAUGAAAUGGCCUUAUCUAUUCUCAGUUUCUUAUUCACUUGUGCCAUAAAAGUGAGACAAAGAUAGUCUUUAAUUAAGUUCAUUUAGUUGUGUGCUUCAGUUAUUUAGACCUUUUGUUGUUUCAAAUACUUUUUUUUAGUGAAUUGUAUGUAUUCAGAUCAUACAUUUCAUAGACCUUUUUUUUGGAAUGGUUCAUCACAUAACGAAGUUGACAUUUCAGUUUAGCUAUUUUUUCUCCCUCUUUCUUGCUCAUUUGAUUUAUUUUAAUUUUAAUUUUUUUUUAUUUUAUGAACUUUUAUAUUCUAGUAUGUGUUUCUCUUAUUAUUUUUGCUAAUCCAUUGUCAUUUUCUUUUUCAUUUUCCUAUGAGAGCCUUUUAGAAUUGCAUAUUUGACUUACUGAAUUGUUAACUAGUUCAUAUCAAAACUAAAAAUUACAUAUAACCGAAUGAUUACAUUUUAUUUUGUACAAACAAGAAUUUUACAAGAAUCAUACUUGAUAUUUGCUUUAGUAUAUCAAAUUUUAAUAACAAGAAAUUUCAAAUGUAGAAACAAAAUAAUAAUAAUAAUAAUAAUAAUAAUAUCAAAAUGGCAUCAACUUAGGCAAUCAACUUGAUGUUCUCUGGAAACAAAAAGAAUUAAAAUUACCUGUUUUGUGGGAUUUGCAACCCACUCGACAUCCUUUAUUUGUACAUCAUUAUUAUAGGUUUACAAUUCAGCUACACAGAGGAUUUGUUCUGAAUCCAAAUCCCCUCACAAUCACCUCUUAUACAUAUUGCAUCUGAGUCAUCCAUUGCAUCGAAUGCUUCAACUUCUGGCAAUGUCCCUAUAAAGGGAUGGUGUUCAAUAGAAUUGUCCACAAGGUCAUCACCUCCCUCCUUAUCCAAGAAAUCUUUUUGAGGAGUUGACAAAACAACUGACCAUCUUGGAUCAAGUUGGUCUUACACAUGAAAUACUUGCUUAGCUUGAGAUGCCAAAAUGAAAGGAUCUUAUUUAUGAGCAACUUUGUUAAAGUCAACUAAUGUAAAGCCAAGAUCGUCAACUUUUAUGUCAUUCUUAUUAUCAACCCAAUCACACUUGAAAACUGGUAUCCUAAACAUGGUAUAAUUAAGGUCCCAGAACUCGUUAAUAAUCCUGUAGAAACAAAGCUCACCAAACACUGGUUUUUGAUCAUUGGCACUUGCAAUUUGCAUUGUUGAAGCUACAAUACUAACUCCGCUAUUUUGGGUAGCUCAUAAGUCAUCACACUCCUUACUAUGGUAUCGACAUCCAUUAAUGACAUAUCCAUGAUAUUUCGAGACAUAGUGGCUAGGACCAUGAGCUAUCCACUUAAGGGUCUCAGAUAUAGGUUCAUUGUUACCAAUUGCAACUUCAAUCUGCAAUUAUAAAUAAUAGUUACUAUGUAUGUUCAACAUUAGUAAAAAGAAUAGUUCAAAUUUGAGCACCAAUUCAAUACCUUUUUUCGAAACCAAUAAGUAAAUGUUCGCAUGUGUUCAUUUUGGAGCCACUUUUGUCUUUUAGAUUGACGAGGAUUUUUCAAUUUCAACCAUUCCAUGUGCUCUCUAUGCAAUUAUUUAUAAAAAGUUCAAAGUUAUUGUCUUAUAGUUAAUUUAAGUAUAACAAAUAAAUAUUAAGUGUUAGUAGUUCUUACUCGAUAUAAGGUUGGACAAUAGUUGUAUUCUCUAAAACAUAAUGAUGUGCAUGCAACCACAAAUAUGAAUCAACGAUCACAACUUGACCUACAGGUAUCGAUGCCCCAACUUUUUGGUUAAUGUUUACACUAAUAGGAAUCCCAAUUGCAUCUACAUUUGAUAAGUACUCUGUACAAAAUUCAAUAGCUUCCUCCGCAAUAUAGCAUUUGACGAUGCAACCUUCAGGCCGGUUACGAUUUCGUACAUACCCUUUCAAAACUUUCAUGAAUCUUUCAAAAGGGUACAUCCACCUUUGGUAAACUAGUCCACAAAGUCUGACCUCUCUUACAAGAUGCACAGUAAGAUGGAGCAUGAUAUCAAAAAAGGAAGGUGGGAAGUACUUCUCAAGUUAGCAUAAUGUCACCACUACAUCAUUUUGUAACUUAUCCAAUGCAGGUACAUCAACCACUUUGCUACAAAGAGCAUUGAAAAAAAAAACUCAAUCUACAAAUAGCAUGUCUUACAUGCUUUGGCAAAACUGAUCAUAAUGACACUGGCAAUAACUGUUUCAUUAAUGCAUGAUAGUCAUGGGAUUUAAGACCAUAAAGCUUCAAGUCUUCCAUUGACACAAGGUUUCUCAUGUUAGAGCAAUAACCUUCAAGAACCUUUAAUUGUGAUAAAGUUUGGCAAAAAAGCUUCUUCUCCACUUUAGAUAGUGUGUAACAUGCAGGUGGGAGAUAAGUUCGAUUUGAUUCAAACCUUGGCCUUAAUUCACACCUUAAGCCCAUCUCCAGAAGGUCUAAACGAGAAUUAAGUCCAUUAUUUGUCUUACUUGGAAUGUUAAGUAAGGUACUGAUGAUGCUUUCACAAACAUUUUUCUCUAUGUGCAUUACAUCCAAGUUAUGACGAACAUGUAGGUAUUUCCAAUACUCAAGAUCAAAGAAUAUAGACUUUUUCUUCCAACAAUUUCUAGUUUUGACAUUCAACUUACCUCGAGUCAUCUUAUUUUUUCCCCAUGAAUUACAAAUGACAUCAAUUUUCCUUAGAAUUUCCUCUCCACUCAAUGGUUGUAGAGGUGACCGAAACUCUUGUUCCUCAUUAAAUGUUUUUUUUUGUUUCCUAAAAGGAUGAUUGCAAGGAAGAAAUUGUUUAUGACCUGUAUAUGAGUUCCCAAGAAAGAGAAUUGCUACAUUGAGCUGCACAUUUUCAACUUGGAUCAGCCUUCGGUAACCAAAAGGGCCUCAUACAUUGGUUUUUUUAAAAAGAGCACCAUAAGAAGAAAAGGAAAGUGAGACCAGUCAUCACCAAACGCACAAACAAAAAUCUCCAGCAGCCAUUAUGAGUCACUUUUGCUUGAAAUUGCUUUCAAAUGCAACCAACAAUACUAUACAUAAAUUCAAAAUAUACUUCCUAAAAGCAUAACCUAAAUAGGUGUCACAUAGAUGGACAUUUGACCCUUUAUCCUCUAUAUGAUCCACCAACCCACUCCAUCAUUUCAUAGAAACAUGCUUGAUUGCUAUUUAAAAAAUUUCUUAGUAACUAAAUAUCUCUGUUGCAGCUAGCAUGGAUUCAUCAUACUCCUUGGCCCCACUAGCUACUGUUAGGUCAAGAUGUGUUUCAUUACCAAAGCAUGCCUUCUUAUAAGAACUAUAGUGGAAACUAGACCCUGGCAUAGAUUCUCUGUCCAUAACCAUCCAAUAUAAACAUUAAACUAAGUAAAUGAGAAUGACUAGCUUGUAACUUGACAAAGAAUAAAUCAAAAGGUAAUUUAAAAGGACAUGACAGAAUAUCAAUUAGCAUUAUAAAAGGUGGAGGGUUUAGAAGAAUUAUCAGAAAAAUAAAGACACGUCUUCAUUAUAAGGCAACAAUAGAUAUGGCUUACACUGAUAAACCUAGAUUACCAUUCCAUGUGAAUGGUUGAUAACAAAUGGGACAAGCUAAAAUGCUCUUGCUGAUGCUAACCUCCUUUUCAACUAAAAUAGGAUCCUGAACAUAAGAAAUAAGAUACAAUAUAUUAUGUCAUGAUAGGAAAAAUUAAUUAAUUCGUAAUUCCUCAUGUGAACUGACUGUAGUUGAAAAAAUAAAAAGACAUCAUCUCAUCAGCACUGUAUGAUAAUUUUCCUCACAUUUUCCUUUAAAAUUUCCAAAAACCAAACAUAGGGAAAAAGAAAAAGAAAUUAAAGCACAAAAGAUGAAUUUGGUUGUACAGAAUUUGCAGCCUUGGAAUUGAUAAUUUUCCCCUUUUGUGGUGGAUGCCCUAAUGUCAAGUCCACCAUUUGGUUGUUUUCUAUACCAAUUGGAUUUCCAAUUGAAUUUAAAAGCCAUAAACCCAAAUUCCCCAAGAACAAGUAAGCAACUCCAAGAUAAAAGCCAAGUUCUCCAGUUCCGUAAAAAUUGAACUUUAAACCAAAUCCAAUUCUACCCAACCAAAUGCAGCCUAAUUCUUCAAGAACCAUAAAAGAACAAUGAAUGAAUCAAGAAUGGACAAAUACAUUAAAAAAAAAUCAGGAGCAAUACAAAUUCUCAAAAACACUAAUCAUAAAGAAUCACAUAUGAAUUAAAACAAUUCCUAUGAAUUCAUUUUAUGCUCGAUUGACGACUGAGACAAUUCCUAGAGAAUGCUCGAUUGACUAAAAAAAUAUAACAGUAGAACUUGAUUUGUCUCCCACAUACGUUCAUUGUACAUGCGCACAAGGUUACCAAUUGACACAACCACCAAUUGCAAUGGAAAAUGGGGGCUGGUUGUUUUGGAGAAUGGAGGAAUUUAUUUUAAAAGAGACUUUCAACACGCACAGAAGGAGGGGUGAAUAAAAAAAAAAAUUAAAGAUAAGGGGUGAGAAGACACAACCGAGAAGGAGGAUGUCUUUUAGGGUGGAGAAAACACACAACGGGAACUCUCCACUACCAGCCACAAGAAUAGUAAAAAAAUGUGACCAGAACAGGGCACAAAUGGGUAAAUCAAAAUGAACAAAACCCACAUUUCAUGCCUAAUCAAAAAAUCAAGAAUAGAGCAGAACAGAGCAUGUAUCCGUGAACCGUGUUUCUUCUCCACUACAACCCAUAAAAUUAGGGCACGAUUUGCAAAGAGAAACUCGACCAACAUUAGAACACUUGCAAUAAAUGAUGAAUAUGGAGUUGAAAGAGUGGAGAAUCACCUGAUUUGUCGCUCGUUGGUGGAAUUUGUAAGAGAAGAAUGGAGUUUCAGUGCUUAUUCUCUGUUAUGAGAGUCACAAAAUGGAGAUUCAAAAAUGAUCUCCAGUUUUUAAUACUCAAGAUCUCACACUAGGGCUUGGAAACACACCUUCUAGCUAGAUCUCCAAUGUCAAGAGCCUCAUCUGAAGUUAACUGGGGUCCUAGGGUUUGUCGGGCUUUUGCGAAAAUGGAAGGAAUGUUUAGCAUUAUGAGGUCGUGGGUAAGAAUGGGAAAUUUUUGAGCCAUAUAUAAAGGUGUUAUUUUAAUGUCACUUUUAUAGAGCACCAAGGUAAAAAUUGAUAAAUGAAGAUGCUUAUAUAAAACGUCAUGCUAUAGGAAGCGCCAUCAUCCUUCAGCAUAAAGCGCCAUGGUCUAAAAUUUUCCUUUUAAGCGCCAACUUCAACCACUUAUUUACUCAACUGCCACUCUAAAAGCCAAGUAAUGACACUUAUUUGAAAGCGACAAGGAAUCAAGCGCCAUAAAUUGUGUUUUUUGUAGUAGUGCUAAAUUGCCAACCAAAGCCUUAAAUCAAAUAGCUUCUUUCACUACUUCUAUGGUCACCAUGUAUUAUGUUUUUGUGAUCGCCAUGUAUUCUACUUUAAUGGUUGACAAGGUAACUGUAGAUUGCAAAGUUUCUUUCCAACUAAUAACACUACCACAUAAAAUGAAUACAUAUCCUAUUAGAGAUCUUCUUCUAUCCAAAUCUCCAACAUAAUCAAAAUCAACAUAACCAACAAUUUCUGUAGAGAUGUCACUACUUUUAUCAAUAAACCCAAUAUUUAUCAAAUAAUCAAACCAUUGCUAUCCUAUAAUAACCAAAUUAUCAAAGAGUUGUUAACUUAACACAUUGUCCAUAAUAGAUAAUACAAAUGUCAACCACAAGGUCCACAACACUUAAAUAGUUACUCAAAAUAUAACAUGUCAAUGUUUGAAUAUUCACGAAGAUUUUUGCGUACUAAUAAAUAUAAAACUCCUGUCUUCAUUCAUUUUGGAAAUUGGAAAAUGGAAAUUGAAAAUGAGCAUCUAGAAAACCAAAGUUCUCCACAUCAAGCCCUUCUAUAGCCACGCCACCACCAUCCUCAUCAUCUACAAAAAUAUUGAAUAUAUAUCAAUAAGAAAUAAUUUUUGAAGAAAAAAAUGUAAUUAUUGAACUUUUAUAAGUUUAAAUAUUCUACUAACCAAUGUGAGGACUUGAACCUUCCACUUAAUUUAUUGGAAUUGAUCCUUCUUCAUAUAGAAGAUUUUCCAAUUCUUCAACAUCUAGCUCUGUUGGCUGAUCCUCAUCAACUAUCCAAAAAUCGGUCUCAUCAAUGCAUGCAUAAUCAAUGGGAUCAUAGAUUCUUUUCUUGUUAUAGAGCCUAAAAAAGAAAAACAUAUAAUUAUUCACAAUUGUGAAUAAAAGAAUUUAAAUUCAAAACAACUAAGAAAACAUUUAUACCGAUUUUUUAGCCAUAAAUUGUAAUGAAUAUAUACAAGAUCAUUAAGCCUUUGAUGUUCCAAUCUAUUCCUUCUUUUGGUAUGUAUAUGUUCAAAGACAUUCCAAUUCCUCUCACAUCCAGAAGACGAUGCAGUUUGGCUCAAUAUUUGAAUGGCCAACUUUUGCAAAUGUGGUGCACUAUAUCCAUGUAGCCUCCACCAUUCAUCUAGUUACCAUUUCACAUUAAAAAUAAGAAAAGAAAAACAUUAGCAAGUUUAAAUUAUUAAAUAGUAAGUAGGUAACUAAUGAAAAAGAACAAAGACACUAAUAAAUGAAAAUAAUCUUUUACCAAGUUCAAGUACUUCACGUGAAGAAUAAGCAAGGUCUCUUCCAAAACUUUCCAAUCGAUCACGAAACAACUUCAUUUCAUUCAUUGUAUCAAGCUUGCCUUUCAGAACUUUUUGAUCAAUAACAUCCAUGACACCUCCAAUAACAGUUGGCAUAUUACAAAAGUUUUCCUGAUCAUAUUGGAAACAUGGAUUCAACUAAUAAGCUACUGAAUGAAUGCUUUUAUUUAGUUGUUGAUCCCAACAUUGCUUUAUGAUCUCUAUAUAAGGCUUGUAUAGUCUUUUGUUGUAGUUAAACAAUUUCUUGAUGCCCAAAUGAACCUUAUACAUGCCUUCAUACACAUAUCCCAUUGAAGGCCUCUCAUCACAAUCAAUAAUACGCAAUAAGUGCAUUAGUGGAGACAUAAGAUUCACAACAAUCAAACAAUCAUUCCAAAAUCUAUUAUCCAAUAUGAUGGAAACUACAACUUUGCUUUUAUUAUCCUUUGAAUAUCUAGAGUUCACAAAGAACUUACUAGUCACCAAAGCUUACAAGUCAUGUUUAUGAUCAUGAAGACUCUUGAGUGCAAUGAAUGUAGUAGCAAAGCGAGUUGCACCAGGUCGGAGAAUCUCCCUCCAUCCGUCUCUUUUUCUCAACCAACUUAACAAAGCAACAUGAUUAUACACAAAAAUUGUCACCUUUGAUGCAUGUCUUACAAGUUCAGCAACAUGGUCCAUCUUACCAAUAUCCUUAAAGAUCAAGUUAAGACAAUGAGUUGCACAAGGUGACCAAUUGAUGUGUUUAUACUUCUGAGAAAUCAAUCUCCUCGUGGCCACAUAAUUUGCUGCAUUAUCAGUCACUAUAUGAACUACAUUGAGUGGACCCACCCAUUUAAUUACCUCAUCAAAUAACAAAAACAAAUUAGUUGCAUCCUUGACAAUGUCUGAAACAUCCAUAGAUUUCACAAACGAUAUUCCUUUAGGACAAUACACAAGGAAGUUGAUGAGUGUUCUUUGUUUAUUAUCUGUCCAACCGUUACCCAUUAUUAUAUGCCCAACUUUUACCCAAAUUGCAUGAUAAGAGUUCACAAGUAACUAAACUUCCUUCUUAGCAUCCUUUAAAAGAUUAAGCUGCAGCUGAUGGUAAUUUGGACCCUUAUAUCCAGGACCAAUUGUAGAUAUAACAUCCAACAUUGGCUUAAAGUAAAAGGAAUUCAAAACAUUAGUAGGAAUGCAUGCAUCAUAAAAGAAUCUCCUAAUCGCCAUGUUUUCCCUCCAAAUAGUUUCUUUCCUAAUUAAUACACUCCUCAGGGAAGGUUGAGCUCCUUGAGUAUUUCUUGGUACAAAAUACUUAUCCACUGUUGAUUUUUUUUUCUUUUUCCACUACUAACUGCCAUAGGACUUUGCAUUUCUUGAACUUCUUCUUCACCUUCUGUCAUAUCCCCUUCAAAUUGUGACACAUUAGGACCAUAAAGAUUUUUGUAUUCAUAUGCUUCUUGAGUUGCUUUCUUGGAAUUCAAAAACUCUUGCAAACAAUUUUCCAUUCGAAAUCUGACAUCAGGAGGAACCAAUUUACAUAUACCAAUAUCUCCUUUCACUCCAGCAAGAUGUUGUUUCAUUUUAUGAAUAUCCUUACCUUUCUCAAUCUUUUUACAAUACAAACAAAUAAGAGCUUUCAUUCCAUUUGCAUAUCUUUCUUUAGAAACAUGCUUUCAUGCAAGAUCGAUUUUACUUCUAGUUGUUUGUGAAUUGGUAGUUCAACCUUGACCAAAUGAUGGAGUCAAGUUUGAUUCCAUUUUUUAUUUCUCUAUCAAAUUAGAAACAAAAAUCUCACAUUAAUCUAGAGAAUGAAAGUCAUCAACAAUUUAUUAAAAUCAAUAUUAAUCUAGAGAAUAAAAGUCAUCAACAAUUGAAAAAAAUGAUAAAUUUACUUUCAAACCAAACAUUUAUCUAAAAUUUAUAAUUAUUAAAUAUUAUAAAAUGUAAUUCUUGAAAUUCAUAAUAUAAUUAUUAAAUAUUAUAAAUGCUACUUUCACAUAUUAACCAAAUAAAUUCUUGAAUUUAUUUUUUAGGUUUAAUAAUGUAAUUGACAAAAUUUGAAUAUUAAUUAUUAAACCUAAAAAAUAAAUUUCAAGAAUCAAAGCAUUAAAUAAUAAAUAAUUAAAUAUUGUGCCUUGAUUUCCAGGUUGCGGGCUUGUAGCUACUAGUUGGACUCGGAGUGGGGGCUUACAACAUAGGGGAUGGGAGGUUACAACCAGUUGGAGGGGGCUUACAGCCAAGGUUCCAACCAUAGGGGGUGGCUUGCCGGCUUGCAAAACCACGACGGGAAAGAGGCGACUCAAGCGACGGUGAUCUUGUAACGAUCGAUGGAGAGAGAUUUUGCACGAUGAAACGACCGACUAUGGGAGCUUGUUGCGGCGUGUUGGGGGCGAGCUAAGAGGUAGGCGACAACUGCAGUUUGGAGAUGGAGGGUUUGGAAAUGAAGGUUUUAUAUCCUCUAAAACGACAUCAUUUUGAUGCUGAAAAAAAAAUUAAAUUGAAUUGAACAGGACAAUUCGGAGUAAACCAGUUGGUUCGUCCGAUUCACCGAUCGGACCGUCAGUUCAGCCAAUCCAAUCCCUAUUCAACCUGUUUUCGAUCUAAUUGAUCGGACUGGACCGAAACCUUGAUUAGCUGGCGGUCAGACCGGUCAGACCGUUAAUCCAGUCUGAUUUUUAAAACCAUGAAUAAAACACUUGAAAAUUUGAAGUGAGCUGCUAAUGGAGUACUCACUGAUUUUAACCCUUGCAUUCUAAAGCAUUCCAACACUUUCUCAAUGUACUUUUUCUGUGAUAAAUAUAAUUUCCUCGCUUCUCGGUUUUUAUGAAUCUCCAUACCCAAUAUUUUCUUUGCUGCUCCAAGGUCUUUCAUUUCGAACUCUCCUUGAAGUUGAGUUUUCAACCUGUUAUCUUAGAGAUAUUCUUGCAUGCAAUUAAGAUGUCAUCAACAUAUAACAAUAAAUAAAUAAAUAAAAGAAUCAUCAAACAAUUCCUUGUGAUAAACACAAUUAUCAUACUCACUCCUAUGGUAGCCAUUACAAAUCAUAAAAGUGUCAAACCUUUUAUACCACUACCUAAGAGAUUGCUUCAAACCAUAAAGAGAUUUCUUCAACAAAUAAACAUGGUCUUCCUUUCCUAAAGUAACGAAUUCCUUAGGUUGAUGCAUAUAAAUCCGUUCUUCCAACUCACCAUGUGAAAAAAACAAUCUUGACAUCAAACUGUUUUAACUCUAAAUCAAAUAAAGUAACCAUAACAAGUAACACCCUAAUUGAGUUAUGCUUCACAGCUAGAGAAAACACUUCAUUGAAGUCUACACCUUUCUUUUGUGUGUAGCCUUUUAUCCACUAAGCGUUCUUUGAACCUAGCAUCUUCUACUCCUGUAAUUCCUUCAUUUCUUUUGAAUGCCCAUUUGCAACCAACAAUCUUUGAUUUUUCGAUUUCUCAACUAGUUGCUAGAUAUGGUUUUUUUUAAAGAGAUUCAAUCUCCUCAUUCAUAGCAACAAUCCAUUGUUUAGACUCUUUACUAGUGAUGGCUUUAUGAUAAGUAUGGGGUUAUUCUUUUUCAAUGCUCUCUACCACACUAAGUGCAUAAGCAACCAAAUCUACAUAAGCAUACCUUUGUGGUGGUUUAAUAUGCCUCCUUGUUCUAUCUUUGGCCAAACAAUAUUGUUGCUCUUGUGGUGCAUUUUCUUUAUCAUCAAGAUGUUGUACUUCUUCCUCCUUUGGCUUUAUUGAAAUCAUUUUUUCUAUAGUUUUUGAAGCUUUAGAACAAACUACACAUUUUCUCUCACACUAGGGUCAUUUCCAUACAUGAAGUUGCUUCUUCCUAGGACUUCACAUUGUUAACUCAUUAAAAGUCACAUUCCUACUAAUAAAAUUUUUUGAGAAUUUUGAAUCUGGGCACCAUAAUCUAUACCUUUUCACCCUAUUUGCAUAUCCUAAUAAUAUGCACUUCUUUGCCCUUGGUUCCAACUCACCUUCAUUCACAUGAGUAUAAACUAGACAACAAAAAAAUUCUUAAAUUAACAUAAUUAGAAGGGGAACCAAACCAUACCUCUUUAGGAGUCUUACAACUAAUAAUAAUUGAAGGAGAUAUAUUCGCAAGAUAAUAAGCUAAAUUUACCAUUUCAACCCAAAAUUCCUUUAACAACUUUGCAUUUGAAAGCAUGCACCGCACUUUCUCUAAAAUAGUUCUAUUUAUUCGUUUUGCAACACCCUUUUGCUAUGGAGUAUGCCUAAUUGUGUGAUGUCUCAUAAUACCUUCAUUUUUGCAAAACUUAUUGAACUAUUUAUCAUAGAAUUCCAUGUCAUUGCCAGUUCUCAAGCUCUUGAUCUUUUUUCUAAUAUGCCUCUUAAUUAUAUUUUUCCAUUGCUUGAACUUCCCAAAGACAUCACUCUUAUGUUUCAAGAUAUAUACCUAAACCUUUCUAAAGUAAUCAUUAAUAAAGGUUAACAUAUAUUUUCCACCACCAUGUGAUACAACUUGAGAAGGGCCUCAAAGAUCCGAAUGGAUACAAUCCAAAGUACCUUUAGUUCUAUGAGUACCUACACUGAAUUUCACUUUGUGUUGUUUCCUGAACACACAAUGCUCACAAAAAGCUUAUUCUCCCAAUUCUUUAACCAUCAAGCAAACCUUUGCUCAAAAUCAUCAACCCUCUCUCACUCAUAUGUCCAUAUCACAUAUGCCAUAAUCUAGUAGUCUUUGAAAUUGAUUUUAAGGUUGAAAAUACAGUUGCACUUGUAACUGUGCUACCUUAUAAUGUAUAAAGACCAUUAAUUUUCUUUCAUUUCAUCACAACAAGAGCACCAUUUAAAAUUCUCAAAACUCCACCUUCAGACUUAUAUGUGCAUCCAUUAGAGUCAGGUGUCCCUAAAGAAAUCAAAAUUGUCUUCAACUCUAGAACAUGCCUUGCAUCAAUUAAUGUCCUUACAAUGCCAUCAUGCAUCUUAAUUUGAAUUGUGUUUAUCUCAACAACCUUAUAGACUACAUCAUUUCCCAUGAGAAUAUUCCCACCAUCUAUAGGUUGAUAGAUAUUGAACCAAUCCCUAUUGGAAGAUAGAUGAUAGGAACACUUUGAAUUAGUAAUCCAUUCAUCACCUGAGUUAUUAACAGUAACUAAAAGAGCAUCUGCAAUAUUUGAAUUUUCUUCUGCAACUGCUAUAUCACCAAAAUUAGAAGUUUUCUUCUUCUUUUUUUCUUUAUGGUCUGGAUAAUUUUUUACAAAGUUUCCUUCUUUAUUGCACUUUAAACACUUGUUAUUUCCCAUAGACUUUGAUUUAGAUCUAGAUCAACCUUUUCUACCACUAUUUUUCUUUCUUAUUCUCCCUCUAGCCACUAAAACUUUCAUCAAGUCAUCUUUUCUACUCUUAGACACCCUAUUCUUCAACUCAUUUAAGUUCAAGGCUAUUUUAACAUCCUUUAUGGAGAGAGUAUCUCUACCAUACAUCAAUUCUAACAUCAAUAUUCCUCAAAUCCAUAAUAGUUUUAUUAAAUUCAUUAAGGUGGUUUUUACUGGACGUACUUUUUUUCAUCUAGAGAGUAAACAACUGAUUCUUUAAAUACAAGUGAUUUGUAAGAGACUUUGUCAUUUAGACUUUCUAACUUCGAUCAUAACUUACCAGUCGUAUCUUCUUCUACAACCUCAUGAAGCACCUCAUUACCCAAGUACAAUAGAAUAACAUUGUGCACUUUCUCCAUAAGUUCAUUCUUCUCUUAUCAGACAUUGUUGUUGGUAGAACUUCUUUACCUUUCAAUGCUUUGGAUAACCACUAUUAAACCAAUAAGGCAUGCAUCGUAACACACCACAAAUUGAAAUUGUAUCUUCCAUCAAACUUCUCAACCUUAAACUUUGCCGUCAUUCUAGGUCUAACAACCUAAGCUCUAAUACCAAUUUGUUGUGAAAAACAACAACAAAAUAUAAUAAUAGGGAAAAAUAAUAAAAUGAUGAAAACAAAACACACAAUGAUUUAUGUGGUUUGACCUCAAACCUACAUCUAUGGGCGAAAACAAAGAAGAGCCUCCAUUAUUAUUGAAGGAGAUUACAACCUUAGAGCCCUCAAAUCUCAAAGCCUCAAUUUAUAUUCAAAAAGAAACUCUCACUAUUUUGUUCAAAAUCUUUUUCUUUUUUUUUCUAAUUACAAAGGAAGAUUCCAUAUAGGAAACUAAGUGUAUAAUUGUCAAAGAUGCCUUUUCCUAAAAGAAGUUCUUAUAAUAAGAUAUUUCCUUUAUAAUAAUAGGAAACCUACUUACAAGAAUAUCUUUUAUUAGGAAACUAUCAAUAACUUUCCAAUUGACUCAAAAAUAAAAUUUGAGACACUUUCCAACAUACAUGUAUGAACUUUUAAUAUGUAGGUUUUUUUAAAUGUCGUGAGGACCCUUGGACCCAAAGUGGAUAACAUUUGUACAGGUAGGAGAAGGCCAUUACAUGUUUGAAAUCUAUUAGGAUGAAUAAUUUGAAAGAAUUAAAUUCAUAUUCCUUGCAAAAAAUUAAGUGUUGACAAGGUUUUCAAAAAUAAAUUUUAAAAUAUAGGAAAUCACUUGAAAUGAUGAUUCUUUUGUUAGCACUUACUAGAUGCUUCCUGCAAUAAUCACUUCUUUAUUAUUGUUGUUGUUGUUGUUGUUAUAAUAUAAACAUUGUUAAAAACAUUAUAUAAAAUAUAUUUUUAUUCAUAUCUAAUACUAACAAAUAUAUUUUUGAAAAACAUUUUUCAAUAAAAGUGUUACUAUAACAACAACAUCACAUGCUAUUUAAACAAGACCACAAAUACAAAUCAUUCAUCCAAAAUCAUUAACCAAUUUUCCAUUUUUACCAUAAGUAAACAAUCAAAAAAUUAUUCCUCUCAUGUAUAAAUGUUUGAACUUACCUCUAUUGUGUGUCUUUUUCUCUACAACAAUCUUAGCUACAAAAUUUGGUUAAGCUACAAGAUCUUUUAAUGAAAAAUGGUGAGGUUGAUGAAAUUCACGUAACCUUUGCUUUCUCCUUUUUUUUUUUUUUUUGGCUUUUCAUGUUCUAUAUACCACCACUUAACAUAGAAGUAUUUUAUAGAAAUUCACAUAAAAUCCUUCUUUGAUUCUUAAGUGGCUAAUAAUAAUUUUAUACACAAUCCAAUGACACAACUUAUCUUCUUGUCUAUCGCAACUCCAUUGGUUGCCAUCAAUGAUAAAAUCAAAAUAAAAUAUUAAAAAUACAUUAAAAUAAAAACAAAUUAAUAAUUAAUAAUGUAAAAAUAAAAUAUUCUUGAUAAAAAACAUCUAGGAAAAAAUGAUAAAUGUAUAUUAAUGAAUAUAUAUAUAUAAGGUAUUGAAUUGCAAUUGACUCUCUAUAACAAGAUAUUGAGUCAAUUUUAGAAUUUGAUUAUGAGGGAGCCAAAAGUCUUAUGGGUUCCAAUGGUCCUUGUUUAGAGCUCAUAUUCCUUGAUGACACAAUUUAUGAGGGUUGGAUGAGUUUUUAAUUCACUUUUGUAUAUAAGGACAUUUUGAUAAUUAUGCAAUGUUGCAAAGGGAUAAGUGAGUGGUAUCUCAGACUAUGCUAAUUGAUUAAUUAGGGUCAUGUAUAGUUAAUUAAUUAAUUAGCAACCUUUUUGGGCUAUAUUAAAUGACCUAAGCCGAUGAUGGGCUUAAGUCACUUAUGCCUAGCAGGAAGCUUAUAAAUACCCCUUUAGGGGUUGAAGUUUCUAUUUCUUGCCAUUUUCUCCCUAUAGUCUAGAGAAAACCCUAAUCUCCACCAUCUCAAUGUCUAAACACGAGAAAGAGUCAUUAGGUGAAAGAUCAUGGUGUUUACGAGAUCCAUUAUGACUUUGGAGUUAUCUAUAUCAAUUGAAAUCGAUCCGUGAACAUAUGGAUAAAAGGUAUGUGACUUUAUUUUCUAAAUUCGUGAUUUAUGUGGUAUCAAUAUUGAUUUUUAAAUAUCUAGUUCUCCGUUGCGCUAGAUUUAGAGAGCCUAGGAUAGAUUUUCAUACACCCUAUGAGAUCCAAGGCAUGGGAAUGGAGUGAUCUAGGGUUCCCUACAAUAAUUAUUCCGAUAGAAACUUCAUAAUAACUUAUCCUAUUAAAUACUAUAAAAAUCCCUAACUUUUUAGUAAUUCCUUAAUGAAUAAAAUAUUUUAUAUGAAAAAGCUUUCAAAAAUGUUUAUUUCCUUAAAAGAAAUUAAACGAUCCAUUUUAGAAAGUAUUUUCAAAAUAUUUUAUAUCUUUAUUAAAUUACUAAAAGUUUCCAAAAAUAUUUUGACUAUUUUAAGUACUCUAAGGUGGCUUCAACAUGACUAUUUUUAUCUUUAUUAGAUAACAAAGUUUUGAGCAAUUGAGUUAUUUGGGCUGAUAUUAAAUCAGUUGUCCAAAAGUUGCUGGUGAUAUAUACAUGGACUUGAUCAUUUAAUUGUUUGUUUGUUUAUGUGAGAAUAAACAAUUAAGGUUGAACUUCCUCUAAAUUGGCUUCUACAUGACUAUUUAUCAUGUUUAACAGUUUGAUAUAUAUAUAUAUAUAUAUAUAUAUAUACGGGGACUUCAUCAACAUGUUUGAUGGUUGGAUUGUUUGUUUGAUCAUGUGAGAACAAACAAUUAAGGUUGAAAUUCCUAUAAGGUGGGUUUUGAACAAUUGGGCAGUUUGGGCAAUUGAGUUGUUGGGCCAAUAUUAAAUCAAUCGUCCAAACAUUGUUGGUGCUAACAAUUGAGCUCUUUGGGCAAUUCAGUUGCUUGGGCCAAUAUUAAAUCAAUUGUCAAAAAGUUUGUUUGGGCCAAUAUUAAAUCAACUGUCCAAAAGUUGUUGGUGCUAACAAUUGAGCUGCUUGGGCAAUUGAGUUGCUUGGCCCAAAAAUAAAUCAAUUGUCCAAAAGUUGUUGGUGCUAUAAUACUAUAAAUAUACCAACUAGGUGUAAUUUGAGCAAUUGUUUAUCAACUCAAGACUAUCAAGGAUACUCUUGAUAUUUGUUCUUCCCAUGAAGGAAGUAUAGGUAAAACAAUGUCAGAUUAGUUUUUGUGCUAGGAUAUGUUACUAGUAGUUUAUGAGGGGUUCUAUCCUAAAAUAAUAAGGCUUUCAUUUAUAGUACUUUCUUGGUUGCUAAAAUUUUUUAGUACAAACACCUUCACUCAUUUGACUAAACCCGAAAGAGAUAUGUUGUCACGAAUUUUAUUUUAUGAAAAUAUUAUUUAUUUUCGUUUUAAAAUUAAAUUUUAUUGUUAAAAAUAAAUUCCUCGAUAACAACAAAUUCACAACAAAUAAUUUUCUAUAUAUAGAAAAAAAUCUUCUACCACAAAAUACUUUUUUUAAAUCAGAAAUUAAUUUAUGGCAAAAACCCCCAUAUUUGUUGUAGUGUUAGAAUAAAACUAAAUCAAAAUUUGAAAGUUUGUGUUUUAUUUUUAAUUAAAAUAAAUCAAUUAAAAUUAAAAUUUUACCAUUAAAAACAGUCUCAUAGUUUCAUAAUUAUAGGGGGUAAUUUUAUCUAUAUAUGUCUAUCAACUUUAUAAUAUAUUGGGUCAAUUAUCAAUUUUUACUGGCACUAAAACACAAUUGUCAAAAAUGUGAGCAGCCAAAAAAGGUGAUUCAACUAUGUUGAAAAGUUGGUAGUGCAAAUGAGUAGUCAAAAAUGCUGAUUUGAAAUUCAUUUUCAAUUGUAUUGGACCGUCCUAGAUGGUGACAAAUGUGGAUAAUGAUCACAAUACAGUAGACAAAAUAAAUGUCACGUCAUCAAGCAAUCUUGAAAGUUAAGAAAAAAAAUUUCCAAAGAUAUUUUACCACUCAUUCCAUCUCAAACCGUAAAUUAAUUUAUUUAAGAAGUUGUGAAAAUUAGUUAAACUAUUUACAAUUCCUCCAAGAAUAAUUCUAGUUAAAGGGUAUUUGAUCUUCAACAUUUUUUAUUGGAACAACUUUAACAAAAAUAUUUUUAAGAAAAUUUAGCGUAGUAGCAUGGUUGAUAGUAAUUUCAAGAAGUAUUUAUUAUUUUUUUAAUAUUUAAACUUUUUUAUUUUUUAAGUAUUAAAAGGGAUAAAAACAUUUUUUAAAAUCAUUGUCAAAUAAAUUCUAAAUUGCAUUUGAUAGUAAUUUUAGGAAGUAUUUUUAAUCUUUUUAACACUUAAAAUUUUUAUCUUUCAAAUACCAAAAAAACUAGAAACACUUCCUAAAAUUAUCGCAAAAUACACUCUUAAAAUACGUUUGACAAUGAUUCUAGGAAGUGUUUAUAACACUUGAAAAUUUUUAUCUUUCAAGUAUUAAAAAUGUUAAAAACGCUUUCUAGAAUCACUCUCAAAUGUACUUUUAGAGUGUAUUUAACAGUGAUUCUUGAAAGUAUUUAUAAUAUUUUUAAUACUUGUAAGAUAAAGUGUGGUUAACAGUAAUUCUUAAGUUUGAAAGCAUUUCUAGUAUUUUUAAUACUUACAAUAUAAAAUUUUUCAAGCAUUAGAAGGUGAGAAGCGCUUUCUUAAAUCAUUAUCAAACAGACUCUUAAAGUCCGUUUGAUAGUAAUUUUAAAAAGGACUUAUAAUAUUUUUAACACUUGAAAAAUUUUAUUAUUCAAGUGUUACAAAGAUUAUAAACAUUUUCUAAAAAAAUUUCGAUCUUUAUAACUUUGACACUAUCCAAACCUUAUCUCCAACUUAAAAUAAAAUUAAAUAAAAAAGUUUGUGUUAAAAUUUUAAUUAAAAAUAAAUUCUUCCAUUAAAAUUAAACAGUACAUAGUUCCGUAAGAAUAGGGGUAAUUUUGUUCAUGUACAUCUUCAUAGACUUCAAACCAAUUUUAUACCAUCAAUUUCUAAAGAUCUUAAGAUACAACAUGAAAUAACAUAUUGACAAGUUUAUGGUCAAAAAAGACGAUUGCCAACCCAUCUUGAAAUUGGUUUUCAACGUGACUAGAUGUUCCAAUUAACAUAUGUUCUGCCUUAGGAUUUCAAGAUAUUUUGCUCAUUUUCGAAGGAAUGAUGGGGACUCAGAGGGUUGGCGAACGCAGUCGAGAAGAAAAAAAUAGUGGUUAAUUUGAAAUGUUUAUAAAGUGACCAAAGAUGGCGCUUGUGCUGAGAAACUAACAGCAUCAACUUCACUGCUUUCUCCAUGGAGUUUCCCUCUUCUUUCCUCUUUCCCUUUCUUCUCUUUCUAUUUAUCCUAUUCAAAGUAAGUAAGAAAUCCAAACCCCAAAUCUCUAUUCCAAAGCGGCCUCCAGGACCAUGGAAGCUACCCCUGAUUGGAAACUUGCACCAACUUGUUGGUUCACUUCCUCAUCACUCACUGAGGGACUUGGCAAAGAAAUAUGGACCUCUCAUGCACCUACAACUUGGCCAAGUCUCCAUGCUUGUAGUCUCAUCGCCAGAGAUUGCCAAAGAGGUUAUGAAAACCCAUGACAUCAACUUUGCCCAAAGGCCCCAUCUUCUUGCUACCAGGAUCGUAUCUUAUGAUUCUACUGACGUCGCUUUUUCUCCAUAUGGUGAUUACUGGAGGCAACUCCGGAAAAUCUGUGUGGUCGAACUUCUCAGUGCCAAGCGUGUUAAAUCAUUCCAGGUGAUUAGGAAGGAGGAGGUUUCAAAACUCAUCAGAAUCAUCAACUCUAGUUCAAGAUUUCCAAUCAAUCUGAGGGACAGAAUUUCGGCUUUUACUUAUUCGGCAAUCUCAAGAGCGGCACUGGGGAAAGAAUGCAAAGACCAUGACCCAUUGACAGCGGCUUUUGGGGAAAGCACAAAGCUGGCAUCAGGUUUCUGUCUUGCCGAUUUGUACCCUUCUGUUAAAUGGAUUCCCCUGGUCAGCGGAGUGAGGCAUAAACUUGAGAAGGUGCAGCAGAGGAUUGAUGGAAUACUUCAGAUUGUUGUCGAUGAGCACAGAGAGAGAAUGAAAACAACAACAGGCAAGCUAGAAGAAGAGAAAGACUUGGUUGAUGUGCUUUUAAAGCUUCAACAGGAUGGUGACCUUGAACUUCCCUUAACCGACGACAAUAUUAAAGCAGUCAUCUUGGUUAGUACUCUUGCCUUGACGCCUUUUGAUUUUAUUUUGUUAAAAUCACUGAUCCAUAGUUCAUUCAUUGUUUUUCAGGACAUUUUCGGUGGGGGAGGGGAUACAGUAUCGACAGCAGUGGAGUGGACAAUGGCGGAAAUGAUGAAAAACCCUGAAGUCAUGAAGAAGGCACAAGCUGAGGUAAGGCGGGUCUUUGAUGGAAAAGGGAAUGUGGAUGAAGCGGGUAUUGAUGAAUUGAAAUUCUUAAAAGCGGUAAUCUCUGAAACCUUGAGGCUACACCCUCCUUUCCCAUUGUUGCUUCCAAGGGAAUGUAGGGAGAAGUGUAAGAUUAAUGGAUAUGAGGUACCUGUGAAGACCAGAGUGGUCAUUAAUGCAUGGGCAAUUGGACGGUACCCCGAUUGUUGGAGUGAAGCUGAGAGAUUUUACCCAGAGAGAUUCCUUGAUAGUUCAAUUGAUUACAAGGGUGCUGAUUUUGGGUUUAUUCCGUUUGGUAGUGGAAGGAGGAUAUGUCCAGGCAUACUGUUUGGCAUACCUGUGAUUGAGCUGCCACUAGCCCAGUUGCUGUUCCAUUUUGACUGGAAACUUCCCAAUGGAAUGAGGCCUGAGGAUCUAGACAUGACUGAGGUUCAUGGGUUAGCAGUUAGAAAAAAACAUAAUCUGCACUUAAUUCCCAUUCCUUAUAGUCCAUUGACUGUUGGGUGAGACCACCCAGAAGAAGGAUUCCUACUCCGCACUAAGUUUAUAUUAAAAAUGCUCCAGAAGCCGCUGUGAUGUAAUGCAGUAAUGCUGCAGAGGUUGUUUCCUGCAUCUUUCAACUUUUUCUAGAAUAUUUAAUAAUGUAAACUGUGUUCAAUAAACAAUAAUAAUUCAGAGGCUAAGUUUUCUAUAUCUAUAUGUAAAUGACAUCUUAUAGCACAGUGUAUUUUUGUCAUAGGAUUUAUUGAGAUCAUAUAAAAAUAUGAAUGGACAGCAUUAAUGAACAUAUUGACCCUACUAAAGGUGGCUUUCUUCUCCAUCUCUAGCUCAUUGCCACGUGCACACAAAGAUAGUGGGGUUUCUACAAAAGUACAUGAUUUUUUAAAAUUAUUUAUUAAAAUAUUGUUGUCCCCAAAAUAUUUCUAAAACUAGGGCAAUUUACCCUAAGUGGGAUUCCACGUACACCUCAUCUAUUGAAAAGAUGAAUUUUGUGUAAAAUAAGAACUCGUAUUUUCAUUAGACGAGUCUAGUAUAAAAUCGAAACUCAUCUUUUUAAUAGACGAGUGCAAUAUAAAAUUCAGAACUCGUCUAUUGAAUAGACAAGUUCAAUGUAAAAUUGAAACUCGUUUUUUCAAUAGAUGAAUUCAAUGUAAAAUUUAGAACUCGAUUGUUGAAAAGACGAGUUUAGCGUAAAAUUAGAAUUCGUAAUUUCAAUAGACGAGUUUAGUGUAAAAUUCAAAACUCGCCUAUUAAGAAGAUGAGUUUAGUGUAAAAUUGAAACUCAUCUUUUCGAUAAACGAGUUCAAUAUAAAAUUCAGAACUCGUCUAUUGAAGAGACAAGUUCAAUGUAAAAUUGAAACUCAUUUUUUCAAUAGAUGAGCUCAAUGUAAAAUUUAGAACUCGUUUGUUGAAAAGAUGAGUAUAGUGUAAAAUUAGAACUCAUUUUUUCAAUAGAUGAGUUCAGUAUAAAAUUUAGAACUCAUUUGUUGAAAAGAUGAGUUCACUGUAAAAUUGGAAUUUGUCUUUCUGAUAGACGAGUUCACGUAUGGGCUUUUAUUAAUGCAUACCUCUAUUAAGUAACUAAGAUCUUUUAUUCAAAUCAACCAGACUCAAAUUGAUAAAUAAAAUUUCAUAAAUGUACACUCUCAACCAUUACACGUUAAUAUCUAUUAUUUAUAUAUGAAUUUUAAACCAAUAACAAAACUUAUCCUAAAAUUUUUCCACUAGUUAUUACUAAUAAACUAGAUAGGAUCCAUCAAAAUGUUAUUACCAGUCAAAUAUCACAUUUUGGUGAAAUGUUUAGUGUAACAAUCUUAGAUGCAAUAUUAAACUCUGAUUUUCCCCCACCAUAACUAACCAUCAUUUUGGUAUCAUCUUGAAGCAAAUUGAAGCACACCCUUUGGCCCUUUUAUGGAAUAAUUGUCUUGCUCAGGAAGCUUAGUUGCAUCACAUUUAAGAUGAAAUAAGUAACAAACAGCCGCCCCAAUUUAAUUUGCAUUCUUGCCAUUUACCAAAGAUUUUUCUAUUUUUACCCACAAAACUUAUUAAAACCAAGUGGGAAAUGUUUAAUUGUUAAAAUUCACUUUAGUACCCAUCAUUCAUUACUAAUCCCAUCCCCAUUGAAAUCACUAUAAUUUGUAUGUCAAAUAGAAAUCUUGUUUAAUUUCAAUGUAUUAAAGAACCGAUGAGAUCUGGGUUGAUGUAGAAUUCCACUUUGCUUCAUCUGAAUAACCAGAACAAUUUGGGACCAUUAACUUUGCUUGCUUUGCAAACUCCAUUGUCCGAGUAUUAAUUUAGUAACAUUUUGCCAUCAUUUUGCAAGGUGAUGCCUUAUCACACCCCGCUCUACAUCCAACUCAAAGUGGGCUCUAGAGAAUUGAGUGCUUGAAAAGAAUGGUUUAAAAUAACAUAUUUCAUAAUCCUGUGCUUGUUGAAAAUGAAACUAGUUCCAAAAGUUAGGAUGGUCGUAAAAUCAUUCAAUUGAAUUAUAUGAUGACGAUAAUGAAGAAGAGUUCUAAUUUCAUUACCUUGCUUUGCAACUCCUCCACUUUCACAUCAAUAUGGGUAAGUCUUGAACUUAACCCAAAUACAAUUUCUUCAAGGUGCAAUGCAUCCUUGACAAGCCCUCUUAGGAGAUACAGGAGUAGUUCAAUGUAAUCCUUUUUAAAGGUCAUGUACUUUUUUAAUCUCUACAACAAAUUCCAAAUACUUUUAAACCAAUUAUCUAGGAAAUGAACUACUGGCAAACUGGACAAUUCUAUGUAACAAGUUGCAAUGGAUUCUUGGAAAGACAGAAUUUCUCAUGUUUAAACAAGUCAAGUCAUCUACAUGCAUUCCCCGAGUAUGGCCAUUGUUAACUUCUCCUGCCUAGAAUAUAUAGUGUGAAACCAAGGUUUGGUUAAUCUUGAUUUUGAUGAUAACAAAACAAAGUUUAGAACUAAUGAUCAUAUUUCAAGUGUGAUUAGGCAAAACGAUUUCCAAAGUGGCAAUCACAAAGGCAAAUCAAUCCAAGGAGAAAUCAUGAAGAAGAAGACCACCUCAAAGAGAAGAGUUUUUCAAGACCCAAGCUUCAUAAGAUCUCUUUGUAAGGUUGUUGGUGCACUAAGACUUUCAUGCAUUUCAUUCUUUAUUUAUGCACCAAAAUCAUCCAAGAGUAAUAUUGUUUUAAAUAUCUUUAGAAUUAGAUGAUUUCAUGUUUUCAACUAAAACCUUGUGUUAAAUGAUUUUCAAACUUGUGUUAAAAGGUUUUAAGUUGAAAAAGGUUGGGUGUUGAGCCAAAAAAAUGGCUCAAUCGAUUCAACCGGUUAUGCUCGUCCAGUCGAGUACCGAUCGAGGGAGGCCAAAAAGUUUUUCUCUCUCCUAGUGGCCUUCUAUUCCUGGUUGAGUUAAUUCUCUUCUCGGUCGAGGUCGAGUUGAGGCCAACGGUCACCUGCCAACCAUUUAAUGCUAACGGCUUGUCAACCGGUCAACCCCUAGCUCAAUCGGUCGAACCCCCAAAUGGCUAGUUUGGCUUUUCUCUUCUAUAUAAAGGCUCCAAACUUCAUUGUUUAAAAGAGCUUAACCUUCCCAAAUAUUUCUUGAUUAUAUUUGAGCCUUGGAAGAGUAUUUUUGAGUGCACCAUUAUUUCAAAUCUUGCAUAUCUUUAGUGCACCAUUCAAUCCUAGUUUUUCUUGUAUCAUUUGAGCUUAAAGUUCUUGUGCUAGGAUUUUUGUGAAAUCUUUUAUUUGUAAAUCCUUGAGAGGAAGUUGUUCAAGAGAGGGAUAUCUCUUGAGAAGUGUAAAGGGUGCUUGGAGCCAAAAGUCCAAGAGGGUGAAUUGGAACCAUAAUCCAAUUGUAUUGCUUGAAGGCUUGGUUUGGAAACCUUGGAUUUAGUGGAACCUCAAGCUUGGGAUUGAAGCUAGAGGAGAGUGGAUGUAGGUCGAGUUGCGCCGAACCACUAUAAACCCUUGUGUUUGCAUUCUCUCUUCCCUACUCUUUAAUUUAUAUGCAAUUGUCUAUAUACUAUUUAUUACAUACUUGCAUAUAAUUGUCUCUUGCAUUCACUUGUUUAAAUUUGCGAAAAGAGACCAUCACCCUAUUCACCUCUCCUCUGGGGUGAUUACCAUAGGUUGGAUUAGCCUAAAAUUCCAAACAUAUAGAAAUCUCAAAUUCAUGACAAAUCAAUAAACCAGAAAAUUCCAUCAUCCAAACCUCACUUUCAAAAGUUUCUCAUGUUGUUGACAAAACUCGAAACUAACCAACCAAAUUGGCGAUGGUUGUUUGGAACCAGCACUGGUUUAGAAUGGAGUAGGUAGACUUGAGGAAUAACUUGCCUAUCUAAUAUAAACAAGCUAAAGACAAGUCAUAUUUUGAAACCCAACAGUUUUACAACGAAUGCUCUUACAUUAUGUUUUCCUAAUUCAUCACAACAAUGAGAAAUGAAAGCAAUAGAAAAUGAUGCAACUUAUGUUUGUAAGCAAUUAUUUGAUGUGCCCAAAAAUCAAUGCUAAUUAGCUAGAUUGAAAACCUAAUUAGUAUUGGUGAGAUGCAUGAGCCACACAUAAGCCAAAACAUUAAUGAGUGUUGAGUAAUAAAAAAUGGACUACAAACUUCUGAGGGAUGAAACUCAAAACUCAGUACAUUGUGCCCAAGGCAUUUUCCAAAACAAUUGCCUAGAAGCAAAAAAAAACUUCCCAACACCUAUAAUAAUUAAAGAGUUGCUAUUCAAAUCAAUAGACGUUGAACAUGGUUAAAGUAAAAGAAAUAAUAAAAGGUAGGAAUUGAAGAAGUAGCUAUAUAAAGUUGAGCAGAAGUUAAUUGACCUGGGAAUAAAAUUAAAUUUUAUGUUCUCAAUUUCAACCUAGUACUCAAUUUGAUUUCAAUUAGUUGAAAAUUUUCCUUACAUCACAUCGAGAAUAAAAUUAAAAUCCUUGAACACUUAUGUAUGAUCUUCAACUUAACCCUAAAUGUCAAAAGCAAAUUGUAUUCAGCGACAUCCACUUAAGAAUAAUCAGUGCUUAUUAUAUUCAAAUUAAAAAGAUGACAAAAUAUAUUAAGAUAAGUGCAUGAAAAAUUUAGUGGGUUGAAGAAAGAUGGAUCAAGAUACUAAACCAGGUUGUUUGCAGCAUCUAUAACCUAAUUGACUAAGGCAAGACCCUCAUUAGUAACACGUUGCAUCAUGGAAAUUCUCAAAAGUUUGCGCAAGUCAAAAUGAUCAUAUAGCAUAUGCUCUUUUUUUUAAGAAUAAACCAACUGACUUGUACAAACAUGCUAGAAACAGGUUCCAAGCCUUGAGGUAUUUUAUGGUAGAGCCUAUAUAUCUUGGAGAAAUCACCCACUUAAUACAAAAAUAAAUAAACAAUUUAUAUAUGAUUUGUUUGAAAAUCACCAUAGCACAAAUUUUUUUAAAAAUCAACUAAUAGGAUUCUACAAAAUACCUUGUCAUCUCUGAGCAAGGCAUGGUAGCCAGAUUACUCCUUUUCAAGCAGUUGGUUUGCAUAUACCACUAACAACUCAAUUUGCACUUUCUACAAAAAAAGAAAAGAAACUAAUAGCAUUAAUGAAAUUGAAAACAAACAGAAGCUUACUGAAACCUAAAAUAUCAAGUAUUUAGAGCAUCCAUUGAUCAAAUUUACAAAUUACUCCAUGAGCUCCUUAAGACAAGUUUUACUUCAAUGCAAGCUAGGAAUUCAAUGUCAUUAUACAUAUAGCAUGAUGAAAUUUGUUCCUAUACCUGGUCUAGAUCUACUAGGAAUUAUACAAAAAAACAUCUAUAUGAAUUGUCUUGAGAUGCAGGUCAAACAUGUAGGCAUAUUAAGAGGGAACGAGGGAGGGAGUAGGGAAAUGGAAGUUUGGGGAUGGGGAGGGUGUAAGGGCUCCCCCUUAUGACCACAUGGCAGACUACCCUGGCUCCACGUGGCAUCUUCCUAUUUCUGUUCGGACGAACAUAACCAAGUCUGAAUGUCCAAUCCGGAUUGGAUAUACCAAUAGCCAAUUACGCAGAGUUCCUCUGAAGCCAUACAAUGCAUUCCGAGUGGAUCUCCUGGCCUACUCCUUCGAGCAAUCAUUUUUCUUGCAUCAGAAGCACGCUUGAUGGGACAUCACCUUAUUUUCGCAGGCAGCAUGCCACAUGCUACACCAUACCGCCUAUUGGAUGAAAUGACAAGUAAACCAUCAUAUCGCCCCCAUUAACGGUCCUUAUCAGCCACCUAAAAGAUGAUGAUUGUUCUGUCACCUACUGUGCUGCUAUCAUGACUACGAAAGUUAAGAAGUUAUCAUAACACAGAGGUGACACUAUUCCAGACCCUAUAAAAACUCUCAUCCAACUCAAAACCAGGGUACGUGAGCGUAUACACCGGGAAAGAAAGUGGGUCUUCUUUUUAGCAUCUAAAAGGGGGCAACCUCUCAUGCUGGCUUUCAUAUUCUGAAUUGAACUUCGGAGGGUGUGUCUGGACAGCCUAUCCGGACAUCUUUUACAGGAAAAAUGGAGAAGUGUUUCUUCUAGUUGACUCAGCAUCAACAUUGGCACCGUCUUUGGGAACUAGUAAACGAACAUGUCCACACCCUCAAGGAGACGGUCAUCAGCCAUGGAUGAUGAAGGCUACUUUAACUGGCGUGAGAGUAUGGAAAGACGCCAGCGAGAAAACGAGCAACAAGUACAGGCCCUACUCCAAGAAACGAGGAGACUUAAGGAGGAGAAUGAUGUGUUGAGGAUUCAAGCAUCUUCAUCAGGCCCUUCUCACGACCAGCAACUGAGGAACCAACGAACGAACUCUUGGUAAAACCAAGAGGCCACAUAUCCUAGAAACACAGAGCCCCUCCUUGACACGCCCGGUGUGUGGCCUGAUGAAAGACCCCUGCCAUCCUAUCAUGCACCACAAGAUGAAAGCUCGGACUCCACUCGUACCUCAUCAAAGAGGCGACGUGGUAGGAAGUCUCAGUUGUCUGACAUGAUGUGCACAAGGUUAGGGCCACAAACACCUGGUAUGGAGAAACCACGUGCAACUGCAACCUAAGAGGCAUAUCCUGGCCCCUCAACUGCACCCAUCAUGUCGGACUGUUCUCCACAGCAACCACUACAACGAACCGGGGGGGAGGCAGCAAAUACAGGCCCCCUCGACUCCAUUAGGAAGCGACUGGAUGAUAUGCUUUCCACGCCUUUCAGCUCUCGCAUUAUCAGUUAUGAACCCCCAAGAGGUUCAUCAUGCCAAAAUUCUUUGCGUAUGAUGGAUCCAGUGACCCAUUUGAUCAUAUCAGUCAUUAUAGACAAAUCAUGACCCUGGAUAUAAGGAAUAAUGCGUUGUUAUGCAAAAUCUUCCCCACCAGCCUCCAAGGUUAGGCUCUCUCAUGGUUCCACCGCCUCUCGAUGAAUUCCGUUGAUAAUUUUUGAGAUAUAUUAGAGGCCUUCGUGGGGCAGCAUCUGUGCUCAACACAGCAUAAGCAAAAUAUCAGUACCCUGCAAAACAUAAAAAUGUAGGAGAAUGAAUCGUUAAGGGAAUUUGUGAAAUGAUUCGGGCAAGUUGUUCUCCAAGUAGAAUCCUAUAACAUGGACACUAUCCUCCAAAUCUUUAAACAGACCAUCUGCCCAAGCACGUCAUUCUUCUAGUCCCUUACCAAAAAGCCCCCUGUGACCAUGAACGAUUUGUUCAGGCGGGUGAACAAAUAUUCUAUGCUAGAAGACAAUGUUCGCAUAGCCACACAACAGAUCUUGGUCACUGGUCAGCGGGUCAAGAACGACGUGAUUAAGAAUCCCAAAGCCACGAGUCAACGAAAGCAACCAAGUAGGGGGCAAGGUGAAUAGCGCUAGCCAGACCAAUCCAAUCUCACCCCCCUCAACGUGUCAUAUGAGAAACUCCUUCCUAUGAUCCGCGAGCUGUCCGACUUUAGGUGGCCAAAGCCCCUAAAAAUGGACUCAACUAAGAGAGACCGCAACAGAAAAUGUGUCUACCACAAAGAACAUGAACAUGCUAUGGAGCAAUGUAAGAGUCUCCACUACUUGGUGGAAAAACUCAUAAAAGAUGGACACUUGAAACAAUACUUCCGCUCAGGAGUUAAAAGUGGGGAAACAUCCCAAAAUCCAGCCAUUGCGUCCCCCACAACUUUCGUUGCUCCUAGGUUCAUGACAAACUAUAUCCAUGGUGGCCUCCUGGAUGAAGAAUACAGGUCCAAACGAAAGACACAAAGGCUGCUUCGAGCCACCUCUAUACAAGAGCAAGUUAGUUCCAUCCGACCUAGACUAACCAGCGGGAGCGCUCACCAAAUAGAUGGGAUAAUCACUUUUUCCCCAAUGGACCUCAAUCGAAUAUUGCAACCGCACCGAGAUGCCCUUAUCCUGAAAUUGGGAAUCAGUGACUUCGAUGUGAGAUGAAUCCUGUCGAUCUAGGUAGCUCAAGAGACCUCCUACAGGUAUAUGUGAUCAAACAAAUGGAAUUUAUGUCCUCCAAUCUAGAGAAUCCUAGACGGAUAUUGUCAAAAUUCAAUGGGGCUUCUACAAUAUCCUUGGGCGACAUCGUGUUACCAGUCCAAGUCGGCUAUGUUACCCUCAACGUGCAGUUCUCAAUGGUAGAGGACCUAUCCACAUUCAAUGCCAUAUAGGGACGCGCAUGGUUGCAUGGCAUGAAAGCCAUCCCUUCCACAUAUCAUCAGAUAAUGAGUUAUCUCACCAAAGAUGAGCAGAUCAAUCUCUAUGGUAACCAGAUGGCAGCCUGUCAGUGCUACGUAGCACGAAAGGCUGGGCCUAGUGGUGAUCACGGAUCUGGCCUCGAACAAGCAAGCGGGUCAGACCAAUAGCAAUUACAGUACCUAACGGAUAAGGAUCCCCCGAGAGUCGAUCCCUUGCAGAUCAUUCAGAUCUCAAAGAAAGAUGGUCACUUUACUUACGCCAGUUCCCUCUUACAACCAAACGAGGCACGAUGCCUCGAAUGGACACUUCGGCAAAACAAAGAUAUUUUCGCAUGGACACACUCUCUGACAUGCCCGAAAUUCACCCAUUGAUUACCUCCCACCGACUUAACAUCCUACCAUAGUCGAGACCUAUCCGCCAGAAAGUCCGACAAUUUCACCCAGAAAGACAAAAAAAUCAUUCAAAAUAAGGUAGAUAAGUUACUAGCAACCGGAUUCAUUGAGGUUGAGUAUCCAAACUAAUUAACAAACAUGAUAGUAGUCCCCAAAAAAUGGGAGAAAGGGCGAGUAUGCAUCAAUUACACUAACCUCAACAACGCAUGCCCCAAAAAUGGCUUUCCCUUACCACGGAUAUACCAAAUAGUGGAUUCCACCACUGGGCACGGCAUGUUCUCUUACCUGGAUGCCUUUUUUGGGUACCAUAAGAUUCCUAUGUCUCCCGCAGAUGAAGAAAAAACUGCCUUCAUAACACCACACGGGCUCUAUUGCAACAAGGUCAUGUUGUUUAGACUCAAGAACGCUAGAGCCACCUACCAAAAGCUAAUGACCAAAAUCUUCAAGCCUCUAAUCGGGCACACUGUGGAGGUAUACAUUGAUGACAUCGUAGUUAAAAGAAAAACCAAGGACGAACAUGACCAGCACCUAGAAGAAGUCUUUCGCUUGUUGAAAAAAUACGACAUGAAGCUCAAUCCGUCCAAAUGCGCCUUCGGGGUAAGUGCAAGCAAGUUCUUGGGAUUUAUGGUCACUCAAAAGGGGAUAGAAGUCAACCCAAAUCAAAUCAAAGUUGUCAUGGAUACAUCUGCUCCUAGCAGCAAGGAGCUGCAACGCCUUACCAGCAGACUCGUUGCACUAGGACGCUUCAUAGCUCGAUUCACAGACAAACUAAGACCCUUCUUCCUGGUACUAAAGGGAGCGAGCGCGAUAGGACUGACGGAAAACUAUCAGUCUGCAUUUGAAGGAAUCAAGCAUUACCUCACGCAACCACCCAUUUUGAGUAGCCCUCGGCCCAACGAACAGUUGUACAUGUAUUUAGCAGUUUCCGACUGGGCGGUCAGCGCUGUUCUAUUUCGCUGCAUAUUAGAUAAAGAGCAAAGGUUUGUCUACUAUAUCAACAAAGCGAUGGCCGACAUGGAAAUCAGAUACUCGAAGAUGGAGCAAAUGGCCUUAGCCUUGAGAAGCACCGCUUAGAAACUCCGCCCUUUUUUUCAGGCUGAUCCAAUAGUUGUGCUCACCAACCAGCCCUUCAUAAGCAUCUUACACAAACCUGAUCUAUUAGGAAGGAUGCUGAAAUGGGCCAUAGAAUUGAGUGAGUACGAAAUUGAAUAUCAGUCCAGGUUGUCUAUUAAAUGACAAGUCAUGGUUGAUUUCAUAGCGGAGGUUCCCCAGCAACCCUCUUGACACAAAAAGCCAGGCAAUGAGGGAUGGUAGACUCUAUACGUCAAUGGAGCUUGCCGGUCCUCAGGGUCCGGGGUAGGCCUCUUUUUAUGAUCAUCGACUAGGGAGCAGUUGGAGCAAGCCAUUCGGCUCGAGUUUUCAGCAUCUAACAAUGAGACCGAAUACGAAGCCAUCAUGUCUGGAUUAAACCUCACACUUGCACUUUCCGCAUCUAAGCUCGAAAUCUGCAGUGACUCUCAACUCGUAGUUGGGCAUAUCCAAGGGAAAUACGAAGCCAAAGAUGAACGUAUGUCUCAGUACUUAACUAAAGUACGAGACAUCUUGAAUCAGCUGAACGAAUAGGUUAUCAAGAGGAUUCCCCGCACAGAAAACAUACAAGUCGAUGCCUUAGUAGGAGUAGUUGCUACACUCCUCGUGAAGGAAGCAAUAUUGUUGCCCAUCCACCUCCAGCCCACUUUCUCAAUCGCAGACACACCUAUCUGCAAUGCUAGGGAAGAAAUCACAUAAUGGACACAUGAAAUUGGGAACUACCUCUAGACAGGAUACCUACUCGAAGAUAGCAAUCAUGCACAUAGGGUCCAAGUGCAAGCUGCCCGUUUCACCUUGAUCAAAGAUUGCCUCUACAGGCGAUCUUUUGGGGACCCAUACCUCAGGUGCCUAGACAGUACGGAAGCUCAAUAUGUGUUAGCAAAACUGCAUGAAGGUGUGUGAUACAAUCAUGCAGGAAGCCGAUCCCUAGCACACCGCGCCCACUCGCAAGGAUACUAUUAGCCCACUAUGAAGCAAGACGCAAAAGCUUAUGUCAGGAAAUGUGACAAAUGCCAAAGACACGCACCCAUUCCACGUAUGCAUCUGAAGUUAUCAACCUGAUAACGAGUCUCUGUCCAUUCGCGUAAUGGGGGAUGGACAUAAUAGGACCCCUGCCCGUCAUGACUACUCAAAAGAAAUUCUUGUUUGUGGCAACCGACUACUUCGGUAAAUGGGUAGAGGCGGAAGCUUAUGCUAACAUCAAUGAUAAGGACAUCAUAAAGUUUGUUUAGAAGAACAUCAUUUGUCAGUUUGGAAUCCCCCAAACGAUUAUAGUUGAUAAUGAGACGCAAUUUAACAGCAUUGCAUUCAGAACUUUUUGUUCGGAGUUGAAAAUCAAGAACCUAUACUCCACGCCAUGGUACCCUUAAAGCAAUGGAUAAGUGGAAGCAACGAACAAAACCCUACUAUCCACAUUAAAAAAAAGACUGGAGAAAGCCAAAGGGAAGUGGGUGGAAGAGUUAUCCGACGUUCUGUGGACCAAUCGGACAACACUUGGACAACCAACAAGAAACACUCCUUUCACUCUCGCAUAUGAGAUAAACUCAGUUAUCCCCACCGAAAUAGGCAUGUCCACAGCCCAAACCAUCGUGCAGGGUUAAAGGGACCAAGGUCAGGAACUUAGGAGACACCUGGACUGGGCAGACGAAGUAAGAGAAAGUGCAUCCAUCCUGAUGGCCUCCUAUCAUCAAAGAGAUGUUGCUUACUACAACCGAAAAGUCCGACCUCAUGCCUUUAAAGUUGGGACACUUGUCCCUAGAAAAGUCUUUGAUAACAUAGCAAAUAAAAUGACCGAGAAGCUCCAGGAAAACUUGGAAGGACCCUACAUUGUCUCAAAAGCCAGUUAAACUGGGGCUUACCAUUUGCAAAAGUUGGACGGAACUCCUUUGUUUUGUCUAUGGAAUGUAUCUAAUCUAAAGCAACACUAUCAGUAAAGGCAAAAGGGAGUGAAGAACAAAAGAUGAGCGAGGGAAUAUUGCACUUAUGAUUAUAAAUGUAAAAAUUGUUCUUUGCAAAUCAUUAUUCGGAUCAAUCACAACAAAAAGAAAACAAUCCAGUAGUAAAAAGGUAUGUUCACUCAGAAUCAAACACGGGAGGAAUGUCUUCUCGUCAGGAGGAACCUCCAGGUACUUCAUCCUCGUCAUCAAAAGGAAUGGAGGGUAUGUCUUGGGUAAUUCCAUUCUUCUUCAUGUAGCAGUGAUAGUCAAAGAAAUACGUUUCAUCCACUUGAUUUUGAUACUUAGCCUCCAGUUCCUUCUUCUUAGUUGCAACCUAGUCUGAAGCUCAUCCAUCUAUUUCCUCUUGGCCAUGAGUCUAGCCCGGAGCUUCUCCAUCCCCUUCUUCAAUUAAGCAUUCUCCUAUUCGACCUUUUUGAGCUUGGCCUCUACAACUCUACCCUCCUCCCUCAACUUGUUCGCCUUGGUGCGAAUCGUUUCCUUUUCCCCCUCAACUAGCUUUAAAGCUUCGGCUCCUUCCGUAAUAGCCUGUUAAGCAGCGAUAGGAUCAUUCUCCGGUCACUCCAACUUUGCACGUAGUUAUUCACCGCUGCUCAUGCGAUUGGAGAUGAAAGUCCGCAUAGCCUCAUCAACCUCUAGCAGCUCAAAAAAUAGAGCACGCUGACUCACCAUGUUGCAGACCCCAACCACCACUUGAAGGAAAUAGCAAAAGCAGAAUUAGUACCAGAUACCAAAGUAUACGUUAUCAUGAAAGAAGAAAGAUAGAAGAGAUUACCACUUCCACGAUCUCCUGCACCGUGCAGUCCUGCAAUUUCUGGAUGCAGGAGACAGUAGACUCGGGCGGCCGAAAGGAAGCCGAGCUGAGACGAAGAUGGGAGGCUCAUCACCCAGGUUCACCGAAAUCCACUUGGUGAGUGGGAAGAAAUCUGACAUCUUUGUGGAGGGCGGUUCAGAGUUAGUAAAGCAUGGUACCCACCUCAGCAUCUCCAUCAUCUCCUCCCAACUAUGAGGGAAAGCAGAUGCAGGGGUGUCCUUCUGGUCCAAAGCCUCCUCGACGAGGGUCGCACCUCCAAGAGCCCAGUCGAGAACCCGACCGGCCUCCUUCUCAGCAGUAGGCACACUGCUAGGCCCCACAAUAUCCUGUGGGGGCAUUGGCAUCGAGGGAACAUCCCUCGCAGGCUCCUCAUGAACCUCCUCCAGGCAGGCUCUUUUGGCUAGAAGAGCUACCACUUCAAUAGCCUCAUUGAGACGUUUAUGGUGUCUCUCCUUGAAGUCGGCUCUCAAAUCAGUUGCCAUGUCGUCCUCCACUUCUGGCUCGUUUAUAAUGGUGAGGGCUAUAGGCUCUGGUUCGAGCUUGAAAAAGCAAGCACCUGAACCACUUCGUUUGAAUUUCGGGAAAUCGAAGUUACCCUCAGAAGCCUAGAUGGAACUAUCCGUCGAAGUAUAUGCGGAAGGAGUAGAAGUAGAUGGAGAAGCAGAAACUGGAGCCGAAGCCUUGAUUGCUUUCGCACUAGGCUUCUUCUUUUUCUUAACCAGAGGACAAGCCACGGACGAUGAAGCCUAACCAUUUUCACCCGGUGCCCUCCUUAGCUUUCCCUCUUGCCUCUUUUCCUCUCUCUAGUCAAGGAGCUCUUGGCGAGCCUUGGCAUUUGCUUCGCGCGCCUAGAAGGGGAGGUCUUUCAAAAUGAAAUGCACCCCAGACACCACAAUCAUAGGCAACCACCUAGAAAUGAUAGGAAGAACGUAUGGUUGGGGCUCCCGAAUAAUCGCAAGUAGGUUCCGGGCAAUAAGAAAUGUUUGAUGGUUCAUUUCAUUUGUAGUAAUUUCGAACAACUUGUUCAAACAGAUGAAUGGCGCUUUUUCCACCCACUCUACCAGACGACCUCUUCUAUCCUUGCCUACACCAACCGAAACGGAAAAUGUUUGCGUUCAAAUAGUACCAACUCAAUAGGAAAAAAACAAAAGAAAGAGGCACUCAAAGCCAUCCCUACCAAGAAUUUUCAAUGAAGAGUUAAGGCGAAAAUCCCUUUUCGGAUGCUCUAUUAGGCUAGCCUAUGGUCCCUGGACCAAUACAUGUCCUUGGCUCCCCCCUUGUUCGAAUCAGGGAGACCGCUCACCGGUUGAAGGAACGAAAUAUGGGCAAACAUGCUGAAGAUAUCUUUUUUGCCCUUCUUGAUAGUGUAGACGAAGAAAACCUCAGUAGAGAGAAGUCUAAAUGAAAGAGCAUGUUCAAGAUGCUGCAUCCCACCAGCACCCGGACAAUGUUAGGAUGAAUUUAGGCAGUAGGAAUUUGGGUGUAGUGCAAAAACUGCUUGAAAAGAAACGGGAGAGAAAAACGGAGCCCCACGUUGAAUUGCUCCUUACUAAAGAAGAUGGCACCAUGUGUAACCUUCUCAAUAGAUGUUAGGUUUCCAUCCACCAACUGAACGGAGACACCGUUCGGAAUGAAGAAACGUUCGCGAAAUUCCCGCUCAUUGAGAAGCUAGGUAGGCUUCCCCGAACUAGGGCGCUCGAAACUCACGCCUGUCCGGCCACUCUUUUCGUCUUGCCCAGCCGCAUUGGAUGAGGCAAUAUCAUUUUUCGCAAGCAUCUUGGAGCUAUGGGCCGAGUUGAACCUGCAUGGCACAAUGUCGACGGUCAGAAAGCAGCUACCCGGCCCUACUACCAAAAGGUAGUGCCCCAAGACAUCCAACUGGCUAAUAUGUCUAAUUUAGGGACUGCCUAAAUCAAGGAACCCGACUCUGCUCACCGAUUCCUGAUCCCAGUCAAGAAUUUUCCCACUACAACACUUAGACGCCCAAGAAAAUGACAAAUGCCAAGCAGACUCAAUGGAGUCUCAAAGCGCAAACAAAAAACAACAAAACCUAACCCUAACAGAGGUUAGCAGGGUGCACCAUCGACAAGAUCCAUUAUCCCGUAAAAGUUUAGCACCCUUUUCUUCAGACAUCGAUAGGGCCACUUUCUAACCGAUCGGGACUCUCAGGUAUCUGAAUACUUCCCAAUCACAAAACCAACAUCGCAACCAAGGAGAAAUGGGAAAUCGAAAGCACCAGAGAAGAAGGAAAAAUGUACCUGGCAAGCACUUAUAGCAAAUUCCAAAGACAAUCCACAAGCGCCGAGAUAAGCCAAUCGAAAAAUCACCAAGGAAAAAGUACUAUAGCACGAAGGCAAAACUCGUUACCUGGAUAUGGGAAGUGCAGAACAAGUGGAAGAUGAAAAGCAAACUCGAAAUAAAAAAUGACAUGAGAAAUGUGCAUCCUAGGGAUUAAUUUCCUAUUUAUAGGGACAAAUUCCCUAGAAAACCUAAACAACAUGGAGCCCAAAAAUGCACCACUCGAGGCGACACACUGCCUGGCAACAACUUCAAUAAUGGUGUCCCUCCAUAAAUCCCCUCCCAGAUGCCACGUGCCAUGCAGUCGUUGAAGGGAUUUGAAAAUUUUUUAAACCCACAUUUUCUGUCCAGAUGAAUCGAUCAGGUUAAAAAAGGGCAUUAUAAGGGCUCCCCCUAAUGACCACAUGGCAAACUACCCUGGCUCCACAUGGCAUCCUCCUAUUUCUGUCCAGAUGAACAUAACCAGGUCUGAAUGUCCAAUCCGGAUUAGAUAUACCAAUAGCCAGUUACACGAAGUUCCUUUGAAGCCAUACGAUGUAUUCCGAGUAGAUCUCCUGGCCCACUACUUCGAGCAAUCAUUUUUCUUGCACCAAAAGCACACUCGAUGAGACAUCACCCUAUUUCUGCAGGCGGCCUACCACACGCUGCACCAUACUGCCUGCUAGCUGAAAUGACAAGGGAACCAUCAAAUCGCCCCCAUUAGCUGUCCCUGUCAGCCGCCUAAAAGAUGAUGAUUGCUCUAUCACCUACUAUGCUGCUAUCAUGACUACGAAAGUCAAGAAGUUAUCACAACACAAAGGUGACACUAUUCUAGACCCUAUGAAAACUCUUCUCCAACUCAAAACCAAGGUACGUGCACGUAUACAUAGGGAGAGAAAGUGGGUCUUCUUUUUAGCAUCUAAAAGGGGGCAACCUUUGACGUUGGCUUUCAUCUUCUGACUUGAGCUUCGAAGGGUGUGUCCGGACAUCUUUUGCAGGAAAAAAGGAGAAGCAUUUCUUCCAGUUGACUCAAUAUCAACAGAGGGUGUGAAGAGGAGAUCUAAAGAGAGAAAAAAAGCUUUAAAGACUUUUACAAUGCAAAAGUACCUAUUGGAGGUUCUUGUCUUCCAAUCUCCUGAUGUCUUCAUUGAUUUCUUCAUCCUCCAUUUGUGCUUUGUCAAGCUAAAAACAAAGGAAAAUGAUAUCAUGAGAACCAUUAUCUGAUCUUUAUACCAAAGUUGAAAUGCACAAUGUGAAACACAUCGUUCAAAGUACUACAAUAAGAAAAAAUGUGAUAAAGAAAAAAAAAACCAUAUCUUCCAGCCAACCCUAUAAAUAGUCCACUUCUUGUUAAUAGUUAAACAAAAGGAAACUUGAUAAAACCUUAUGUUAUCCGAAAAAAAAUGAUAACAUAAGACUAUUAUUUAACUACACCUAACAAUAUCUAUCAUGUACUAUAUCUUAAUUACAUACAACCAUCAAUUGUUCAAUGACAAUCUCAAAUGUCCUUAAAUAUAAAAGAGUUUAUCAUUCCAAAAAGAAAAUAGCAACACAUGUAGAGGUAAUGUGGAAUUAAGUUCAAGUGUCACAUGGAGCAGUUCUCCUCUUACAUCUUGGACAUAUCUGGUAAGUCACAUUAGAAGCAUCGACAUUAGAGGUAAUGUGGACAUCUAAAGGAACAUCACAAGUAGCCUGAACAUCACAAGCAGCUUGAACAUCAGAAGCAAUCAGAUCAACAAAAGCAACCAUAACAUCACAAGCAGCCUAAACAUCAGAAGCAAUUGGAUCAUCAAAAGCAACUGAAACAUCACAAGCAGCCUGAACAUCAAAAGUAAUCAUAUCAAAAGCAAUCAGAUCAUUAGAACCAAUCGGAACAACUGAAGCAAUUGGAACACUAGAAGCAUUUGCAGCAUCAAAAGCACUUGGAAUAUUAAAAAUGCCAUCAGUAUCCUCAGUUUGCUAUGAUAUCAUCAAGAGGAAAAUCAAUAACAUGAGGAACUCAUCCAUCAUGCUCUAGAGGUGUACUCCCUCAUCCUCGACAUCGUACUCGACCUUAGCCUCUGUGAGGUUGUACUAGAGGUGGAAUAGAUGAGGAUGAUAUCAUGAUUGAUGUCGACUAUUGAUAAUAUGUUGUGGUUAGGGUGCUAUAAGGCUAAAUAGGUGUCUGCCCUGAUGUACAUGAAUAUUAUCUUUUCAUGCUAAAGUUUGUUUUUUUAAAUGGCAUUUUCAUUUUUAAGAUGCAAGUUUCAAUGAUGAAAGGUUUAGACGUUCAGCGAAUAUGCUAGACUCAUCACUCUUUUUAAGGUGAAGCUAAUUUGUCACUUUGGACUAUAAAGUUAACUAGUUUCUUUUGAGGAAAUAAAUUCUUUUUAACAAAAUAUUGAUUGAUAUAUCGAUAUAUCCAUAUAUUUAUAAAAUAAUAAUAACUUAAAGAUAUGGUAAUUAAUGUAAAUUAUUUUAAAUAUAUAUAAUCCAUUAACAAGAAAAUGACUUCAAAUUAAAAUUAUAAAAGUUCUUAUUAACAAGCUUGUAUUCAUUCAUCUAAAUGUUUACUAAAAUGAUCUUAAAUUGUUUUACAUCCACUUAUACUCAAUUAUCUAGGAAAAAAAAAUCAAAUUUUAGUUUUAUUAAAACAUUUUUGUAACAUCUUUUAAAUACAAAAUUACUAAAAUAUUUAAAUUUUGAUAUAAAAUUGUAUAUCAAAUAUUUUUUAUUUGCAAGGUCCAUUUUUUUUUUUUUUUGAGAAAAUUCUAUUUAUAAUUUUUCUUAUCAUACUAAUUUUUUAUUUAUAAACUACUCGUAGAAAAGUUUCCUUGCUUCUUGAACUUUAUAGAUGUAAAAUACAUUGGAAUCUAAAACUAUAUCAAUUGGUUAAAAAUAGUUUCACACUUGACAUUAUAUCAAUUGGUUAUUAUAAUACAUUAUUGUAGGGACCCCUCUCCCUGAUGACACGUGGCGCGCCUUGCUGUCAGGAGCAACUCCAUCUGAACUCCCCUUAGAGGACACGUGGCGCGCUCCCCUAUCCGGACUCCCUCAAGAAAAAUCACACGGCACUCGCAAACGUCACAUCCGGAUGGUAGCAUAUCCUAUCCGGAUAUGUUGUCCGGAUCAUUGACUAAAGUGGGCGUGCCUUGCUACGUCAUUCCGACGGCUUGACACAGCCCACGUUCCGCCUGUAGAGCGAAAGGACAAGAAUGAUGGCAAGUCACCUCCCACGAUCUCUGACAGCCGCCCGUAGGGUGAUGAUAGCCCUGCCACCACCUAGAGGCAUCAUGACGAGCCAAAAAGUCUCCCCACCAUUAAAGAGGGAGGCAGAGCUUCUGACACUAUAUAUAAGGACCUUCACACAAGAAGGAAAGUAAGCUUGCUAUACCUAGAAAAAGGCCAACUACUUAAUCUCUCCAGCCAUGGCUGACAAAACCAUCGGAGGGUAUGUCCGGACACCCUGUCCGGAUAUCUUUUAUAGGGACAACUGAACCAGAACUCAAUCUUGGUUGAAAGCGUUCGUCCAUUUGGCAACUACGUGGAUCAUCAGGAUGCAAGGCCUCAACAUUGGCGCCGUCUGUGGGAAAGUUUGCUGAUUCAGUCACCAGCAAAGAUGGCCACACCUUCCAGAAGUCGCUCGUCUGCUAGGGGAGAGGAAGAUAAUUAUGAAUGGCGCCAAGCCAUCGAGAUAAGAUAGUUGGCAAGCGAGCAACAAAUGCAAGCUCUCCUCCAGGAGACAACAAGAUUGAGAGAAGAAAACAUUGUGUUGUGCAUCCAGGCUUCAUCGACGAGGCCUCCCCGUCGUCAGUGUUCAAGAGGCCAGGUAGCAAACUCAAGGGCUGACCCAAAGUCAAUAUACCUUGGGACAGCAGGAGCAAUCCCUGAAACAUGCAACGUUAGGCCACAAGAGUGACACACAGAGCGACACACGCCCAUGCACCAAACUCCCCAGGAGGAAAGCUCGGACUCUACUCGUCUCUCAAAGAGACAAUGCGACAAAAGACCCUAGUUGUAGGGCGCGAUGCACGAGAGACUAGGCCCAUAGGAGCCUGGUAGGCCAAGGCCGCCAGUAGCCACAACCUGGGGAGCGCACCCUAACCCUAUGGUACAGAACGUUCCCCCGCACCAAGCGGUACGACAAGCUAGGAGAAACCUCCCAAAUGAGCCACCUAGUGGCUCCAUUAGUAAAAGGCUGGACAACAUGCUCUCCAUGCCUUUUUGCUCUCAUAUUAUUCAUUACGACCCCCCAAGGGGAUUUCUCGUGCCUAAAUUCUCCACGUACGAUGGGUCCAACGACCCCUUCGACCAUAUCAUGCAUUAUCGACAACUCAUGACUCUCGAUAUAGGAAACGACACGCUACUAUGCAAAGUAUUCCCCGCCAGCCUACAAGGGCAGGCCCUCUCAUGGUUUCACCGCCUACCUCCCAACUCUGUUGAUAAUUUCAGGGACCUGUCGGAAGCUUUUGUGGGACAAUACUUAUGCUCUGCUCAGCAAAAACAGAACAUCAGUACUAUGCAAAACAUAAAAAUGCAAGAGAACGAGUCUUUGAGGGAAUUCGUGAAGCGGUUUGGUCAGGCCAUGUUACAAGUAGAAGCUUACAGCAUAGAUGUUGUCCUAUAGAUCUUCAAGCGAAACAUCUGUCCAGGCACCCCAUUCUUCGAAUCACUGGCUAAGAAGCCUCCUACGACGAUGGACGACUUGUUUCGGCGAGCGAGCAAAUACUCAAUGCUCGAAGAUGACGUGCGAGCAGCCACUCAGCAAAUCUUGGUUGCCGGACAGGCAUUCAGAAGUGGUGCGGAAAGAAGUGCCAAAAUUCCGGACCGGCCAAGACCAUCCGGUCGAAGGCAGGAAGAACAAAGCCGCCCGGAACAGCCGCCCCUCACACCCCUUUCCAUAUCCUAUGAGAAGCUUCUCCCUAUGAUCCAAGACAUGUCUGACUUCAGGUGGCCCAGACCCCUCAGAACGGACCCAUCCAAAAGGGAUCAUAGUAAAAAAUGCGCCUACCAUAAGGAGCAUGGCCACACAAUGGAGAUGUGCAGGAGCCUCCAUUAUUUGGUCGAAAAGCUCAUAAGGGCGGGGCAUUUGAAGCAAUACCUCCGCUCAGAUGCCAGAGGUAGAAAUGCUUCCCGAAAUCACAACUCUGGAACCCCCAGGGUUCCAGCCGCCCCCAAAGCCAUUAUAAAUUAUAUCAACGAAGGCCCAUUGGACGAAGAAUACGACUCCAAACGAAAGAAACAGAGACUGUUGCGGGCAGUAUCGGUGCGUGAGCGCGUCAACUCCAUACGGCCUGGGAUAACUAGGAGGGCCUCGACCCAUAGAUAGGACAAUCAUUUUCCCACCAGUAGACCCCACACAGAUAUUGUAGCCGCACCGCGACGCCCUCAUCCUGUCCCUAGAGAUAGGAGACUUCGACGUGAGACGCAUCCUAGUUGACCCGGGCAGCUCAGCCGAUCUUGUACAAGCAUUGGUCAUGAGCCACAUGGGACGCAAUCUAACAGGCCUCGAAAACCUUGGGUGAUUCUAGUCCGGAUUCAACGGAGCGUCAACUACCUCCUUGGGAGAUAUUGUACUGCCGGUCCAAGCUGGCCCAGUCACUCUCAACGUACAAUUUUCGGUGGUACAAGAUUUAUCACCCUUCAAUGUCAUCUUGAGGCGCACAUGGUUGCACUACAUGAAAGUCAUCCCCUCUACGUAUCAUCAAAGGGUAAGCUUUGUUACCAAGGAUGGACAAAUCGAUCUAUACAGCAGCCAGUUAGCCGCUCGCCAAUGCUACCAAACAGCAUAAGAAGUAGGGACCAGCUAGGAGGAUAAACCCCUCCCUGAGUCCACCCAUGCACUUAACCAAUAGCAAUUAUUGAGUCCGGCAGACAAAGAUCCCCCGGCAGCAGAUCCCUUGCAAGCGAUCCAAAUUUCGGAAGAAGGUACUCACCUUACAUAUAUCAGUUCCCUCCUGACACCAGAAGAGACCCGGAACAUUCAGAACGCCCUCCGACAAAGCCAUGACGUCUUCGCAUGGGCGCAUUCUGAUAUGAAGGGAAUUCAUCCCUCCAUCGUCUCUCAUAAGCUUAACGUCUUGCCAACAGCAAGACCCGUCCGACAGAGGGUUAGACAUUUUCACCCGGACAGGCAAAAGAUUAUUCGGGAUGAGAUUGACAAGUUGCUGGAAGCCGGAUUCAUCAGAGAAGUGGAGUACCCGGACUGGUUGGCAAAUAUAGUGGUGGUACCCAAAAAGGAAGGCAAAUGGCGGGUGUGCGUCGAUUACACCAACCUCAAUAAUGCAUGCCCAAAAGACAGUUUCCCUCUACCACGGAUAGACCAAAUUGUGGACUCCACUGCUGGGCAAGGGAUGCUCUCCUUCUUGGACUCUUUCUCCAGAUACCACCAAAUCCCCAUGUCCCCGACCGACGAAGAAAAGACAGCCUUCAUAACGCCACACGGUCUUUAUUGCUACAAAUUCAUGCCGUUCAGACUCAAAAACGUUGGCGCCACUUAUCAGAGACUGAUGAUGAAGAUCUUCAAAUCUCUGGUCGGCCGCACAAUGGAGGUGUAUAUUGACGAUAUCGUGGUCAAAAGCAAAACCCGAAAGGAACAUACCCUCCACUUGCAAGAAGUCUUCCACCUCUUAAGGAAGUAUGGCAUGAAGUUGAAUCCUUCUAAAUGCGCCUUUGGUGUAAGUGCUGGCAAAUUCCUAGGAUUUAUGGUCAGCCAAAGGGGGAUAGAGGUUAGCCCGGAUCAAGUUAAGGCAGUCAUGGAAACACCACCCCCCAGGAGCAAAAAGGAAUUAUAUCGCCUCACAGGCAAGCUCAUCACGCUAGGACGCUUUAUAGCCCGCUUCACUGAUGAACUGCGACCCUUCUUCUUGGCAAUACGAAAAGCUGGAGCGAGCGGAUGGAUGGACAGCUCUCAGAGCGCUUUUGAAAAAAUUAAACAUUGCCUCAUGCAACCGCCUAUUCUAAGCAGCCCCCUCCCUGCAGAAAAAUUGUAUAUGUAUCUAGCUAUAUCGGAGUGGACAAUUAACGCUAUUCUAUUCCGCUGCCCCUCGCCCAAGGAGGAGAAACCUAUUUACUACGUCAGCAGAGCGUUGGCGGACGUAGAAACUAGGUAUUCAAAGAUGAAGCUAACGGCCUUGGCUCUUCGAAGUGCCACCUAGAAGCUCCGCCCUUACUUCCAAGCCCACCCAAUGGUCGUGCUAACUGACCAACCCCUUCGCAACAUCCUGCACAAGCCGGACUUAACUGGAAGAAUGCUUUAAUGGGCCAUAGAGUUAAGCGAAUAUAGAAUCGAGUUCCAACCCAGGUUGUCCAUGAAAGGCAAAGUGAUGACUGACUUCGUGCUGGAAUACUCCCGAAGGCCUAUCCAGUGCAAGGAACCAAGUGAAAAAGAGUGGUGGACUUUGCGGGUUGAUGGAGCCUCCCGGUCAUCAGGAUUCGGAGUAGGGCUCCUGUUGCAAUCCCUAACAGGAGAACAUCUGGAGCAAGCCAUCCGACUGGGGUUCCCUGCCUCUAACAAUGAAGCGGAGUAUGAGGUCAUCCUAUCCGGAUUGGACCUCACCCUGGCUCUAUCCGUCUCCAGGCUCCGGGUCUAUAGUGAUUCCCAGCUCGUGGUAAGGCACGUCCAAAAGGAAUACAAAGUUAAGGAUGUGCGCAUGGCACGAUAUCUGACUAAAGUAAGGGACACCUUACAACGGUUCACCGAAUGGACGAUCGAAAAAAUUAAACGAACUGAAAAUGGGCGUGCCGACGCCCUAGCAGGCAUAACCGCUUCCCUCCCCAUCAAAGAAGCCAUACUAUUGCCUGUACACGUGCAAACCAAUCCCUCCGUCGCGGAAGCCUCCACUUGCAAUACCAUUGAGGCAAACCAAGCAGACGGCCAAGAGUGGGCAGAAGACAUAAUAAGGUACCUCCGGACAGGCACUCUGCCCGAAGAGCCCAAGCAGGCACACAAGAUCCAUGUGCAAGCUGCCCGUUUUACCCUGAUCAGGGGGCACUUGUACAAACGGUCCUUUACAGGUCCCUAUCUCAGGUGCCUAAACCACUCAAAGGCCCUAUAUGUUUUAGUUGAGUUGCAUGAGGGGGUAUGUGGGAACCAUUCUAGAGGUCGAUCUCUGGUGCACAAGGCCCAUUCGCAAGGGUAUUACUAGCCCACGAUGAAAAAGGAUGUGGCAGCUUAUGUCAAAAAAUGUGACAAGUGUCAAAGGCAUGCCCCCAUACCACAUGUGCCAUCGGAGACGUUGAAACCAAUUUCAGACCCCCCCCCCCCCCAACCCCCCUUCUAUUAUUAUGUUGCAGGAGUAAACCUUUUCCUUAUGCCCCAUAUAGUUCUUACUUUAAUGUAAAAUUACUAAUCAUUUUUCACCUUUGACAAAAAAAAAUAGUUGAUUUAGAUAUAUCGAUAGAGUUACAAUGUAACAACCAUGGUUUUGCACAUUACAUUAUCUGCUAAAACUACUUCAAUCAACCGAGGGAAACCAGGAUUAAAAAUGCUACAAGUGUUGUCUAAANNNNNNNNNNNNNNNNNNNNNNNNNNNNNNNNNNNNNNNNNNNNNNNNNNNNNNNNNNNNNNNNNNNNNNNNNNNNNNNNNNNNNNNNNNNNNNNNNNNNGGGGGCAUUUUUAAAAAGGGUCUUUAAGGGUCCCUUUUUUAGGGGCCUAAACCCACUAAAGGCCCUUAUUUUUUUUUUUUAAUUUCCAGGGGGGGUUAUUGGGAACCCUUUUUAGGGGUGUUUUUUGGGGCCCAAGGCCCUUUUCCAAGGGUUUUUUUUCCCCCCGUUAAAAAAAGAUUGGGCCGGUUUUUUCAAAAAAAUGGAAAAGGUUUAAAGGCCUGCCCCCCUUCCCCAUUGCCCUUUGGGAGGGUUGAAAACAAUUUUAACCCCCCCCCCCCCCCCCCCCCCCCUCUGGCCCUUUGUGUAGUGGGGCAUGGACAUAGUUGGACCCCUACCAGCCGCAGCCGCCUAGAAGAAAUUUCUACUCGUCGCCACGGAUUUCUUCAGUAAAUGGGUGGAAGUUGAAGCAUACGCUAGCAUCAAAGACAAAGAUGUCACCAAGUUCGUAUGGAAAAACAUCAUCUGCCGCUUUGGAAUCCCCCAAACCAUUAUAGCUGACAACGGUCCACAGUUUGAUAGCAAAACUUUCCGGAAUUUCUGUUCGAAACUAAACAUCCGGAAUUCAUACUCCACACCACAUUAUCCUCAAAGUAAUGGGCAAGCAGAGGCCACAAACAAGACCCUAAUAACUGCCUUAACAAAGAGGCUCGAGCAAGCCAAAGGAAAGUGGGUGGAGGAGCUACCCGCCGUCCUGUGGACUUAUUGAACCACACCCGGACGUCCGAUAGAAAACACUCCUUUCGCCCUCGCAUACGGUAUGGACGCAAUCAUUCCUACUGAAAUAGGGCUACCCACUAUCCGGACCGAGGCAGGAUGGCAGGAUGAUGCGAAUGCGGAAUUAUGAAGAAAUUUGGACUGGGCAAAUGAAACAAGAGAGACUGCAUCCAUCCGAAUGGCUGACUAUCAACAAAGGGCAGUCGCUCACUACAAUCGCAAGGCAAGGCCCAGGAGCUUCAAAAGUGGAACGCUGGUCCUUAGAAAGGUUUUCAAAAACACUGCUAAGACAGAAGCAAGAAAGUUUCAAGCCAAUUGGGAAGACCCCUAUAUAGUGUCCAAGACAAGUGAAAGUGGAGCCUAUCAUCUACAAAAGCUAUACGGAACCCCAUUGCUCCGACCAUGGAAUGUAUCCAAUCUAAAGCAGUAUUACCAAUGAAAGAAAGAUACAAGUACAAUGUGAAUGAGUAUGUUUUAUUAAUACUUGUGAAAUUGUAUACAAAAAGGUUCUCUGGACUACUAAUAUAGGGAAAAAUAGCAGUAAAAAUUACAAAAAGAAAAGCUCUCAUUGGGAAGGCUUGCGGCGCAACUUUUCCUCCUCACCCGGGGGAAUUGAAGGAACGUCCCGUUUGAUACCAUGCUUCUUCAUGCAACAACGGUAGCUGAAGAAGUACAUCUCGUCUACCUGCUUCUGGUAAUCCUUCUCGAGUUUCUCCCUUUGCGCAGUAAACUCAGCCUCUAACUCUUCUUUUUGCGCUAAUAAACGCAACUGCAAGUCCUCUCUCUGCUUUUUCUCAAUUGACACCUCUGUCCGGAAUUAUCUCACUUCCCCCCUUAGCUAGGUCGUCUCGUCCUCCGCCUCGUGCAGGCGGGCUUCUAUAGCUUCCUCCCGUCUCUUUGCCUCUGCUAGUUCUAUUCGGAGAGCCUCGUUGUCAUCCUGGGACCUCUUCAAGGCUUUGGCACUCUCUUCAGAGGCUCUCCGGGCAGCGGAUAAGCUGGCUUCGGCCUGCUCCAAUCUCGAGCGCAAUUCCUCUUCACCGCUCAUGCGAUGGCAGACGAAGGCCUUCAUGUGAUCGGAAAUCCGCAGUAGGUCUGAGAAAAGAUCGAGUUUUUGAACCAUGCCGCGAAUACCGCUCACCAGCUGCAAAAGAACCCACAACAGCAAGUUCAAUAAUCAAUCAUGUGAAAAACACACCAGUAUGGCAAGAAAAAUCAAGGGGAAUAAGCUCUACCAUUUUCGCCGCUUCAAACAUUUUCGUUGAAGGCACAGCAACAUCUGAGCCAGAUGGAAUCCGUUUCAACAUCUCUUCCAACUCCGCAUAGCUGGAAGGGCUAGCGGAGGUGCAAGUCGCAUCAUCAACGGGACUCCCCCCUAAUGAGGCGUUAUGGAGUAACUCCUCCCCUAGAUCCGGGCCACCAUCAUUCACGGCCGGCUGGGUCUCUGCGGGUGAACCCUCAUCCGGGAUCGACACCGGGUCAGUUGGGUUCUCUUCUGUCAUCUCCGUCUCACUCCCCUCCGGAUGAUCCUCCUAGGCGGAUGAGCAGCUGACUUCGAUGGUUUCCAGAAGACGAUCCUGUAGUCGCCCGCUGAUGUCGGACUUUAAAUCGCGGGCAGGAUGAGACCUCUUCGCAGCUGGCCCCUUCACCGGUACAAGUGCAAGGGAGCUUGGCUCACAAGGGGACAAACCCUGACUUCCAACCCCUGUUUCUUCCAUUGGAGGAGCCGUAGGAGGCAACGUUUCAGCGCAAGAGGCCUCGGCUACAUCCGCGUCCAGAUGGGGAGAGCCGGGCUGAUACACUGAGGUUGCUUCCUUAGCCAAAAGCGCAAGCUGUUCAGCCGCCGACAUUGAAGGCCCCAAUCCGUUUUAACCCGGGACACGUACGAAAUCGCUUGAAACAAAGGGCAAGCCGGAGGGAGCUGGAGAUCUUAUUACUAUUCCCUUUAUGGGAGCCGGAGAUUUUAUUACUACUCCCUUUGUGGGAGUUGGAGAUUUUAUUACAAUUCCCUUUGUGGGAACCUUCUUCUUCUUUCCCGCUGGGGCGCUAACAGGAGGAAAGGGCGCAGAGCGUUUAUCACCGAGGCCUUCUGCAAAGUUCCUUCUUGCCUUCUUUCCUCCUGUACGUUGAGAAGUGUUUUGCGUGCCUGGGCGUCUGCCUUUCGCACCUCCGUGUAGAAUGGGAGAUCUUUGAAAACAAAGUGUUCUCCGGCUACCACCUUUUUGGGCAGCCGCCUUGGGAGUAUGUUGAGUACGUACGGAUGGGGCUCUUGGGUAACCAAGCGGAGAUUCUGCGCGGAGAGAAGCGUUUCACAGCUCCUCUCGUCCGCCGCAAUCUCAAAUAGCCUGUUCAACCGGUCGAACGAAGCUUUUUCCACCCACUCUACCAACUUCCCCCUUCUAUCCUUGCCUACACCCAAGAGAACAAAGCAUGUCAGCCACCUAAUAAUGCUGACCUAACUCACAACCGCGGGAGGACAGGGAGCAACUUAUUCAUACCUGGGGCCUUCAAUGACUGGUUGGGAGCGAACUGCCUGUCCGGAUGCACCAUCGAACCUGCCUAUAUGCCCUUGACCAGCACAUGUCCUCUGGCGGCCCCCUUGGUCGAGUCAGGAAGGCAGGUCACCAACUGAAGGGAUGGAAGGCUGGCGACAAAGCUGUAGAUAUCAUUUUUCCCCUUCUUGAUAGAGUAGAUGAAAAGAACCUUCAGUAGUGAAAGGUCCAGGUUGAACAGCAUGCUCAAAAUACUGCACCCCAUCAGCACCCGAACCAUGUUAGGAUGGAUGUAAGCCGGGGGGAUCUGGGUGACGUGGAGAAAUUCUUUGAACAACGAUGGGAGGAGGAACCGGAGCCCAGCAUUGAAUUGCUCCUUAGUGAAGUAGAUAGCGUUGUCCACAGAUUUCUCAGUCGACACGGCCUCUCCAUCCACAAGGUGAAUGGACACGCCAUUCGGGAUGCAGAAGCGUUCGCAGAACUCCCUCACGUUCAGCUUCUCCACGGAUUUUUCUGCAUGGACCUCUCCGGACGCAUCUUUGCCGCUCUACCCGGCCGCACUAGACGAAGUAGCGUCCUUGUUCGCAGACAUUUUUUAGAGUGGGGCUGAAGCGGAACCUGCAUGGCAGGAUGCCAACAGUAAAAAACAAGGACCCGGCCCCACAACCCUAACGGAAAAAACGCUCAGAAAACCUAACAUCACCAGCAUACCCAUCCCAACCCUUAACUCUACCCCAAAGAAGAAUUGGUAGCCCACAAAAGGCGCAGGGGGCAACAGAAACCCUAACGCACCCAAAACACAAUCAAAACCCCUCGAAAAAGCCCUAAAAACCAAUACUGGCCCCUAGUCGCAAGUAGCUUUCCCAACAAGCCAGAAACAACCACAAAGCAAACACAACGAGGAGAAGGCAGGAAUAGAGAACGUACCAAGCGUAAAUUGGCAAAAUGGAGACGAAAUCUGUGGUGCAGUCACCGUCACGACAUGAGUAUUGCUAGCAGAAACCCUAGAACCUCACUCACAAACGACGAUACGCAGAAGGCUGAAGAAAACCACUACCAGCAGAAAAUGCAGAAGAAAAAAUGCAAGAGUGAAGGGCUCGGUCUGCUAUUUAACGAGAGACAGCCCCUCGGUAUUCUAAACCGCUCAACCGCGCCGUUAUUGAAAAGACACGCUGCCUGGGAAUUCCCAGAGACGGCGGCUCAUCAUAAAUGCUUUUCUUCCUCUUCUCUUCCGCGCACCACGUGGCCCAAUGAGCAAAAAAAGUAACCUCAGUUUCAAAAACAAUCAUUUUUAACCCAUCCAUUUUGCCCGGGCAAAAUCGGCAGGUUAAAAAGGGGGCAUUGUAGGGACCCAUCCCCCUGAUGACACGUGGCGCGCCUCGCUGUCCAGAGCAACUCCAUCCGGACUCCCCUUAAAGGACACGUGGCGCGUCCCCUAUUAGGACUCCCUCAAGAAGAAUCACACAGCACUCGCGAACGUCACAUCCGGAUGAUAGCAUAUCCUAUCUGGAUAUGUUGUCCGGAUCAUUGACUAAAGUGAGCGUGCCUUGCUACGUCAUUCCGAUAGCCUGACACAGCCCACGUUCCACCGCCUGCAAAGCGAAAGGACAGGAAUGAUGGCAAGUCACCUCCCACGAUCUCUGACAGCCGCCCGUAGGGUGAUGAUGGCCCUGCCACCACCUAGAGGCAUCAUGACGAGCCAAAAAGUCUCCCCACCAUUAAAGAGGGAGGUAGAGCUUCUGACACUAUAUAUAAGGACCUUCACACAAGGAGGAAGGUAAGCUUGCUAUACCUAGAAAAAGGUCAACUGCUUAAUCUCUCUAGCCAUGGCUGACAAAACCAUCGGAGGGUGUGUCCGAACACCCUGUCCGGACAUCUUUUGCAGGGACAACUGAACCAGAACUCAAUCUUGGUUGAAAGCGUGCGUCCAUUUGGCAGCUACGUGGAUCAUCGGGACGCAAGGCCUCAACAAUUAUCUUUGUGUCUCUUUUAAUGAAUAUAUACUCUAAAAUAAAAAAUAAAUAAAAAUAUAAUUAAAACUAGAAACACAAAGUUAAAAACCUAUCUUAUAGUUUUAUAAAAUAAGAAGACCUUAACAAUAAAAGAAAAAUGAAAAAACUAUUAACAUUACAAAAAGUUAAACUAAAAAUCAAAUGAUAAAAAAUGCAUUAAAAUGGUGUUUGUUUUUUUUUUGUUAAAUAGAAAAGGUUAAAGUAUUUGGCUUUUUUAAUUAAGGUAAAAGUAAUUGUUGAUAUAAACCAACAUAACUAAACUUAACUCAUUGAUAACAAGUUCACCUUAAUUAUAUUAGUUGAUAUCAACACAACUUUUUCUAUUCAACCAAAAAACAAAGACAUCCUAAGCCUUCAAAAUUAUUUAAAGAAUUAAAAUUAAGACAAUGAAUUAAUGAAAAAUAAAAUAAACAAGGAAAGGUUAAACCUUAAAUUUAAUUUUUUUUUUUAAAAAAAAAAAAUUAAAUUAAUGAAUUCAUGAUGGAUUAAAAAAAAUUAAGUGAAGAUAAUAGAUUCAAAAAAAAUAUUAAGUGGAGAUAUAUAUGAGAAGGUAAGAAAGAUAAGUAUACCAAAGCCAUACAUUUUUAGUUAGGACUAAAAUUUAAUAUAAUUUUAUUAUUUAACUUUACUUUUUAAUUUUAGUUUUUAAAGAAGCAAAAGAGUUAUCAUGGAUUUCAUCUUUUAACUAUUUACAAAGAUGAAAAUAUCAGUAAUUAUGGAUAUAUUAGUACUUUGAUUUUACGGAUAUAUCGAAUAUAUUGGAAAUAUAUCGGCAAAUAUUUUAACACAAAAUAUUAGUGAUAUAAAAAUUAAUGAAAAUUCUAAAAAUAUGAUAAAAUAAACUUUAAAAAAAUUAGGAAGUAAAAAUAGACAUUUUAAAAUUAGUUUUUAAAAAAUAUAUAUAAAUUUUAUAAGUAUAUAUUUAUUAUUAAGUUGCACAAUAUUAUUUUACAAUAAUAAUAUGAUAACGUGUUUAAUUUUAAAAUAUAUUUAAUAUUAAAAUUAUGAUUCAUUUUAAUUUAAAUGUAUUCGAUGGUAUCAAAUAAAUAAUAAAAUAUAUAUAAUUUUUUUAAUAUUUAUAUUUUUUAUAUUUGAUAAAUAUAUAGAUUAUAUAAAAAAAGACAAAAAAUUAUGUUUUUAUGCUUUUGGUAAUAAAUUAAAUCAAAUGUAAAAAUAAAAUAAUUAAAUUUAAUUAUUUAAUAAAAUAAUAUUUAGUAUUCAUGUAUAUACAUUUUGGUGCAUAUUUUUUAUCAAGGAGCAACUUGCUCCCGUGGUUGCCGCAACUUCCACACAAGCCUUUUCUCCUGUCUCCCGUUCAAAUCCAAUCGGGCCAUUUGGUCCUUGCCUAUUUACCCUUUUAAGCAAAAGAGAAAUUGAAAACAACUCUUCGAAGAAACCAACAGCAUUAUCUUCUCCAUUGCUACCUUCUUUUUAUCCUCAUGGAGUUCUCCUCCUCUUCUGUCCUCUUUCCCUUUCUUCUCUUUUUAUUCAUGCUAUUCAGAAUAGGUAAGAGGUCCAAACCCAACAUCUCAACUCCAAAGCUGCCCCCAGGACCAUGGAAACUACCUCUAAUUGGAAACCUGCACCAGCUUGUUGGUUCACUUCCUCAUCACUCACUGAAGGACUUGGCAGAGAAAUAUGGGCCUCUCAUGCACCUACAGCUUGGCCAAGUCUCCACGCAUCGCCACAAAUUGCCAAAGAGGUUAUGAAAACCCACGACCUCAAUUUUGCCCAAAGGCCCCAUCUUCUUGUUACCAGGAUUGUAACUUAUGAUUCUACCGACAUUGCUUUUGCCCCAUAUGGUGACUAUUGGAGACAACUCCGAAAAAUUUGUGUGAUCGAACUUCUAAGUGCCAAGCGUGUUAGAUCAUUCCAGUUGAUUAGGAAAGAGGAGGUUUCAAAUCUCAUCAGAUUCAUUGACUCUUGCUCAAGAUUUCCUAUCGAUCUUAGGGAGAAAAUUUCCUCUUUUACAUUUGCCGUGAUCUCAAAAGCAGCACUUGGGAAAGAAUUCAAAGAACAAGAUUCUCUUGAAUCGGUUUUGGAGGAAGGUACAAAGCUGGCAUCAGGUUUCUGUCUUGCCGAUGUGUACCCUUCUGUUAAAUGGAUUCACCUGAUCAGUGGAAUGAGGCAUAAACUUGAGAAGCUCCAUGGCAGGAUUGAUGGAGCACAGAGAGAGAAUGGAAAAAAGAACAGGCGAGCUUGAAGCAGAAGAAGACUUCAUUGAUGUGCUUUUAAAGCUUCAACAGGAUGGUGACCUUGAACUUCCCUUAACUGACGACAAUAUUAAAGCAGUCAUCUUGGUUAGUGCUCUUGCCUUAAUGCCUUUUGAUUUAAUUUUGGUAAAAUUUAACAUUUGUUCUCCAUAACAAACGCAGCUUCAUUGAUUACCCUCAAAGUCCUGACCAAAAAAGACAAGUAGUAAUAUUUCGUUGCUAAGGGGGGCAAAAGAAGGGGGGAAAUCCUUUAUUCAUCUGGCCAACAACUUGGAAGCAUCUCUGAUCUUAUAAAAACUACAAAUAGAUCAUAUACUUCAAAACCAACCGAAAAAAGUAAUUGAUCCUCUAUAUCUGAAAGCUUAAGUAGUAGACUAAUCACCAAUUAUUUCCCUCAAAGGAAAAAUAUUUGGUGGAUAUUUGCUCUUCACUUUCAGUGUCCAUCUGAUGCUGAAAAGAAUCCUUGGUGCCAUGGAUCUAAUCCAUAGUUCAUUUAUUGUUUUCC